UUGAGAAACAGGAUAGCCAUGUUGUCUAAGUAGUCUGAAUUCAAGGGAGGUUGCAUACAGAUUUUCUUUUCUCCAAACAUAAUCGUUAUUACUGUUGUAGAUAUCAUGCAAUAUGUUCCGAAUCUCAGUCUCAAAAUGAUAAGCCAAUCCAAGUCUUUGCAAGCUGUCAAUCAGCUCCAACUGAUUCAGAGGCUCGGUUACAUCCUUAAUCGUUGUCAUUACUUUUCCCUUCAGCUCUUCUUCUCGUCUUUUGUAUGUUUCAUCCUGUACAUGCACAGCAUUUAGUUUUUAGUUAUUCAUGGUCCCAGUUUGAAAUCAACAAAGGAAAUUAAUACGUAAUAAUAAUGAUGAAUACCGUAUAGUUGCUAUUCAAUGACUGCAAAAAAUCAUGGUCCCAAAUUGAAGGUUGGUAGUUUGCUGAUCUCCUAUCAACUGUCAAAUUAUCAUAUUUGGCGCUGACAAGGCAUUGGACUGGCUUAUUUUUUGCCAUGAUUCUGAUGGCUGCUUUAUUUGUUGCAAGAGGAAGACAUUUGAAACCAUUUACAGAGGUAACCAAGGUUGAGGGAUUAAUGCAAGAAGACAUUGGAUGUACAGAUGUAGUGUAAGCUAGCUUACAGUUGUACUUGGCAAAGAUUCUCAAAUUAAUCUAUGGUCUGUGGUGAUGUACGAGGUUAUAUAUAUAUAGGCAGAGGAGAAGCUCAUGUGAUUUAUUUUUCUUACUCAUUUUUUCUGAGUUUUGAAAGCGUUUAAUUUUUAAGUCUUAAUAGUACAAAGAUAUUUUAUUAAUUUGGGGGGGGGGGGGGGGGGGGGAAUACAUCGUAUUGGAGGUGUAUUUGAUUAACUCAUGUGCAUAACUCAAUUGGUGGGACAAACAAUGUCUUAAGAAAAGCGAAAUUCGUAAUGUGCCUCGAAGUACACAUCCAUUUUCUAUAGUUUACCUAUUACUAUUAUUUUUGUAACACCCUAGGCGAAUCCCACAUCAACAGAACACGGGAGAAAUGCUAGUUUUAUAAGAGGUGAUUCACAUCUUAAUUGGCAAGAUACGUUUGGGCUGUAUGGGCGCCUCAAGAACAAAACCGUGCGGGCUUUGUUAAGGCCCAAAGCGAACAAUAUCUUGACAAGUCUGAAUUUGGUCAUGACAGAUGAUAUCAGAGUGGCUCCGCAUGUCCUCUUGAGCGAUGGUGGGACAAACCUCAGCGAGUACUCUGAGUCAUUAAGGGGGGUGUAUGUAAUAACACCCUAGGCGAAUCUCACAUCGGCAAACCACGGGAGAGAUGUUGGGUUUAUAAAAUGUGAUCCACACCUUAAUUGGUAAGACAUGUUUUAGGGUGUAUGGGUGCCCCAGGAACAAAACCGUGCGGGUCUUUUUAAAGCUCAAAGCGGAUAAUAUCUUACCAGGUUUGGGUUGGGUCAUGACAAUUUUCUUGUACCUACAAAGUUAUAAACACAUUAAUUUAUUAAAAUAAAGUUCCACCUUUAUUAUUGCAAUUCUCUACAUUUAUUAUUCCCCACAAAUAUAUAUCUCGGCACUUAGUAGAUAGAUUAUUUUAUUAUAACUAUCAAUAGAUUUUACUUGCAUAAUAGAUAUUGAUGAAAUUAUAUAGAGUAAUUUCGUCCAAUUAUAUUAAUCGUUUAUGAAUUUCAUCACAAAUUUAUAUGUGGCCAAUACCGUGCAAGUGAAAAUUAUUUUGAGUUUUAUCCACCCGUUUACCAUUUCAAUAUAUAAAACUCUCCUAUUGCUUUAAAGUGUCAUUUUUUAUUUUAAACAAGUCUCAGCCAAAGAUUAAAUUGUCAUCUGUUCGCAAGAUAUUCAGCACAACACUUGAGCGAAAUUUCUUCAUCCUUGAGCGGAAAAUACAAAGAAACACAUAGUUCGCAAUUUUAGUAGCAAAAUUAAUAUUUUGUUCCAUAUGGGGUAAAUCUUCAGGAGGCCCAACUUCAAACUUAAAAUGUUAAUUUUAAGUUAUUAUGUAGUCGUUAGGAAUUUCGGAAUUUGAGAAUUUUGAUUGUUGCUGCAGGCUGCAGCGAUUUUGUCAUGGCGACUUUGAUUCAUAAUUGAAGUACUGUUGCAAGUAAAACUAAAAAAAUAAUUAACAAAAUAAAAAAAAAUCGAGUUACUUGAUUUUAUAUGUAUAAAGUUUAUAUAUCAAGUGCUUAGGGGUCGAAUCAGUCUUCUUAUACCUAAUUUUUAAUAUUUCACUUCGAAACCUCAAAAUUUUUCAAAGCUCGUAGGGUCACAAUCCCCGCUAGGAGUGGGCAAAUUUGUGUUCAGAUCAACUUGUUUGAGUUUUGGGUUGAUUAGGUUAGAAUAUUCAGAUUGGAUUGGAUUAGAUCAAAAUCAAAAAGUAUGAGAGAAAUUAAUUGACUUCUCCCAAGAAAAAUACAUACUGAUGAUUGAUAUAUAACCAUUAAAUAAUAAAUAUGUUAGACUUACUUUAUUUUUUAGCCCUAAAUAAUAAAAAGGUUUAUUAUUGCUUGACUUUUCGAGUUUAAAAUUUGAAUGUCAAAUUAGAUAAAAAGUUAAAAAAUUAUUUUGAGUUUUAUCCACCCGUUUACCAUUUUAAUAUAUAAAAGUCUCCUAUUGCUUUAAAGUGUCAUUUUUUAUUUUAAACGAGUAACAGCUUUGUCCUGCUUCAUGUGCCUCCGCUCUGCAUCUUCCAGCACAGCUUGAAUGUCUUGAAGAUUGGUAGUAAGCUUUCCCACUUCUUGUUCGACACUCGUCACAAGCCUCCACUUUUCUUUCACCUGAUCUUGAGCAAUGGAAUUCAGCUGGUCCAAGAGAGAGGAAACGAUCGCAUGAGCCAUUCUGAUAUUAGAUCAAAUGGUAAAUGCUGCAAUUGCUUUUCUUGCUAAAAUGCUCAGAGGAAAGUAGCUUUUAUGUAUUCUGUGAGAAUGUUCAUUCAAGCAUGUUUGCAUAUUCUUCUUAUAGCAUAGGAGAUAUUUAAUUUUUAUCCUUGAGUCAAUGCCAAUGUGAACGUUCUUUUGUGCUGCAAAUUAAAGGAGUCCCCACACAUGGGUUCUUUUGUGCACGACAAGAUGCACAUGGGUUCACAGCAUCAACCCAAUGUGAACGUUCUGGGGCUAGCUUUCUGAUCCACCACGUCAAUAAUUGUACAGCAUCUGCCCUGUUUCUCUGAUUCAUAAUAAUUAUUCAGAGUACUCAGCAUCUGCUCCACCACGUCAAUAAUUGUACAGCAUCUGCCCCGUUUCUAUGAUUCAUAAUAAUUAUUCAGACUACUCAGCAUCAGCUCCUGUAAAAUUUCUUAUGUACUAAGCAACAAAAUAUUUGUGAACUACAACAAAAGGCUUAGAUCAAUCCACCGAUGAACCUUCUGAAGUUAUAUGUAAUCUAUUAAUUGUUGAUCUAGAAUAGUCUUAGUGGAUAGAUUUUUUUUUAUUAUAAAUAUCAAUAAAUUUUUUAUCGUCUAAUAGAUAUUGAUGAAAUUGUAUAGAGUAAUUUCGCCCAAUCAUAUUAAUCCAUUAUGAAUUUCAGCACAAAUUUGUAUGUGGUGUGGACCGUUCAAGUGAAAUUUCAGAUAAAAUCAUCCCCUGACAAUUUAUUUAUUAUAUGUUUUCUGAUAAAAUAAUGUUAAUUAGUAAUUUAUUACAUCUGCAAUUAGCUAGAUACUUUGUUUGAGAAAAAAAAAUAAAAUCAGUUUCACAAUGAUUUUAAUUGCAAUAAAUAUCAUGCUGUGGUCUAUGACUUAUCUGAUAUUACAGAGAAAAUAUGUGAAAGAUAACUAAGUAAUAAAUCCAUUACGAAUUUCAUCACAAAUGAAAUUUAUUUAUUAUAUUUUUCAAUUUAACCUUAACGUUUGGACCAUUUUUUUUCUAUAUGGAUUAUGGCCGACAACGUUUGUUAUCAGCAAAAGCCAUUUGUUAUCUUGUCAAAAUUUGCUACAACACCACCAUUUUCUUACAUUUUGGCUUCUUCAAUGUUAAAGCCGUGUGCUGCCAAUUUUACUUCUUUAAAGAUGCUGCAGCCCUCUUUGAUUUUUCUUUGUUCAAAAUGGGCUGCUUUUAGAAUUUAGCAGUUACUUUUCUUGACAUUAAAUAGAUAGAACACUCUAGCACGUAGUUCUAAUCAUGUUGCAGAUAGAACACUCAAACACGUUGUUAUAAUCAUGUUGCCUUGACCUUAUUUUCUUAAAGCAUGUUGACAAAUACAAUAAUCUGCAUUUGGAGGAUGAUUAUGAAGAUAAAAACAAUAGAAAGUAUAAAUGACUAAUAAUAUACAUGACUUUAAGUGACAUGAGAUUUUUAAAACUAAACAAAGCUAACACAAGUAGAUGAUCCUUUCAUUAUAAUAUGUCGCAAAAUAAAAACUAAAUAAUAUUUAUUUCUUUUAUUUUUUUAGUUUAAUUCAUACUUCAGAAUUAUGUUAGGAUCAACCCAUACAAAGAAAAUCUCACAAGUCCUCUGAAGUAAUAAGCAACAUACAUAUGUGUGUGUGUGUGUAGUACAAUUUAAUAUUAUUUCAACUAGCGAAAUUUAUUGUGGAAGUCAUAAAAAUUAAGAAUGAAGAAAAGGAACCAUGAACCCAAAACAGAACGCAAAAAGUAGUCAUAUUUGUUCAUGAGGGAAUUCUAACAUGCCAAUCCUUGUGUUUAGAAUAAUCAACGAUGUCGAUAUUUCUCUAUAAUGGUCUUACAUUGAACAGAAACGUACGGAAGCAUGUGUUUAAUAAUCAACGAAUCAUACGAGUCAAAGAGUACUGAAAAGAAUACGUAAAAACUCUUUUAAUCCCUAUAUUUUGAGGUUAGUAACGUAUAUUUUUAAGAAUACCUCAAAACUCCCAGCCGUUAAACUAUUGACGCAUCUGCCUUUUUAUUUUUAUUCCUUUUAACUUGCUUCAAUAAUAUUAGCCUUUUACAAUAAUUUUUUUGGAGAGUAAUAAAAAGAAAAAAAAUUAUCAAUUUAAACCUAAAAAUAAUACACACACAUACAUAUACACUAAUUUUUCUAAAAGCUCACAUAUGUAAAAAAAAGUAAUAUUGUAAAAAAAAUUAAAUUACGAACUUUUUUGGACAUUAAUAAAAACAUAAAUAUAUUAACUCCUCAGCAAAAUGUUCCACAUUAAUUUUUUGAGAUUAAAUUGAUAAUUCAAUUUUUUCUUUUUAUUAAUGUAAAAAAAAUAAACAUUAUUGUGAGAGAGUAAUAUGUAAAAGCAAGCUAAAUGGAACAAAAAGUAACGGCAGGGGUUUCAAUAAUUUAACAAUAGAGAUGUUUUGAGGUAUUUCUAAAUAUAUAGUGACAAAAAAGAUGCUAACCUAAAAAUAUAGGAGCUAAACGAGCUUUUAUCCAAAGAGAAUCCAUGUAUAGCCGAUUUUACUAGAAUUUGCAAAUAAAAUGCAAAUACCAUUAGUCUUAUAAAAAACAUGCAACUUUUUAUCAGCAACCUGUAAAAUACCAUUAGAAGAGAUACUUGUACCAUUUCCAUGGGAUCAUCAAUCUCGAAACAAAACAGUUUCUGCGAGGCACCAUAUCAGCAUGUAAAAUGCCGCUUCAUUGACUAGUAUUUGAAAAUGACAAGAAGUGCAUAAGAGAAAUUUUAGAAUACCUCUAAAGUACCAUAUCAUUUAUACAAUAAGUAAAUAAUUUUAUAGUAUAAGUACAUUUAUUUUGAAGAAUCGACAAGUAAUUAAUGGUUAUACAAAAUUUAAAUUCACAUAUCAUAUAUGUAUUAAUUGAUUAUAUUAUCUCUUGGGUGCUACUAAGUUACAGCUGCUGUAACUUAUAGCCCCUUCAAAAUAAUGUAAACAACUGUCAUAGGUGGUAGGACCCGCAUGAUUUUUAAAGGAAUUAUAAAUUAUAGCAGUAGUAACUUAGCAAAAUCUUUAUCUCCUAUGCAUUUUGACUUGCUAAGUAUGAGAAGUCCCCCUGGGAUUCAAGAAGAAGGAAAUGAAGAAUGGGAACGAAAUGAAAUAAGGUCUUUCUGCAAGAUCAUACUUUGUAAUACCCCACCUCGCUGCUUUGACUAAUUUUGACUCGCUUUUUGAUUAUAUAAAAAAAGGAAACUAUAAAUUGUUUAAAGAAGAGGAAGCAUAUUCACACGUGAGAGAGAGAGAAAGUUGCCAAAGCUGACUCGGAAAACCUGACCCAUGAACCAACCCGGCCACCAUUUCUCGUUCCUGGCCACCCCACCAGCAACCGGAGGUACCAAUUAGAAGCUUUAGAACCAAUGGUCAGUUCCCCACCAUCGUUAUCGUUGAAUAACGGCUGGAAAGCCAUCAUUUGAGCCUGCAAAACCUAUAGUAUUUGCCACCUCCAUUCACCGUGAUUUCGCUGGUUUUAGGUGACGCCACCGAAUGGAUUUCGUUCCUCAGGUCACUACCUUCAUUUUUCGACCACCCACAUCACCAAAAAUGGUCAAUUUGCUGCCAAUCGACCACCGGAGUGUUCACAGCUUUGGGAGCUCGAUCUGGUGCCUCUGCCACCACUGUUGGAUUCAACGCUACAUGAAGCUUCUAUCCCGACCUUUCCUGUCACCGUCAUCUGAAUUUCGAUCACCGUUGCUCGAUGAGAGCAUUUUGGUGAUUUUUUAGAAUUUGAGGGUAAUUUCUUAAAUUUUUUAUUUUGUGAAUAUUUAAGUGAUUUCUAAUUUGGAGGAUAAGAAUCUAAGGGUAGUUCAAUAAAUUAUGAUUUUGAGGAUAAUUUAGCAACUUGUGAUUUUGAGAUUUCGGGAACAUUCUAGUAAUUUAAAAUUUUGGUAUUUUGGUAAUUAAUUAUUCAAAUUGAGAUUAAUUGAGGUUAAGUUUAGAGGGUAUUAUAUUGAGGAAUUUGAGAGCAUUAGAGUUUAUGAUUUGAUAUGAUUUUAUCUUAUAUGAGUAUUUUUUAUUGAUUUUAUCUUAUAUGAUUUGAUAUGAUUUUUUAGGUCGGUGAUAUCGAUACAUAUUUGUUACUCGAGGAUGCUAGAAGGUAAGUAAACUAGAUUUCUAAAUGAGUCACAAUAAAUAAUAUGCAUAUGUUUGACAUGUUUGAAAAGCUUAUUUUGAUAUAUGCGGAUAUGGAUUUAUAUGCUCUGCCCAUGUGUUUAUAUGAUGUGUUAAUAGGAUGUAUUGUUAUGUGUUAUGUGUGUUUAUGGACGUGGACAUAUGUCUGUGUGAAUGUUUCAAUGGCAUUAGCACGAAAAUGUAUUAUGUUUUCUGUGAAAUGAGAAAGUGGAUUUUAGCCAAACGAAAUUGGAAGAAAGAAAGUAAGCUUUACAUUAAGUAGUAGCAAUCCUUAUGAAUUUCCGCGAGGUGAUGAAAACCUAGGCCAUACAUCAAACAAAUGUCCAAAACGAAGACAACAAAUAGUCAAUUUGGCAACUAAUGCAGAGGAAAAUGAAAAGCCUAAGGAUGAACCGUAUAAAGACAACGACGACAUAGAAAAGGAGGAAUAGUAGACAUAUUGAGACACAUGAGUAUCACUAGUAACACAACAUUUGUUAUACACACUAAAGAAAGACGAAGACACUCAGAGACACAACAACUUCAAAACAAGGUGCACAAUCAAUGAGAGGGUAUGUAAUAUGAUUAUUGACAGUGAUAGUAGCAAGAAUAUAGUUUCGAAGAUUAUAGUUGACAAGUUACAACUUAAAACUCACAAACAUCCUUCCCCUUAUUGCAUUGGAUGGAUAAGAUAUGUUGGAGAGAUCAAGGUUACUCAACAAUGUUGUAUUCUUUUUUUCUAUCGGAAGAUACAAAGAUGAAGUAAUUUGCGAUCUUCUUGACAUGAAUGCUUGCCAUUUGCUUCUCGGGAGACCCUGGCAAUUUGAUCUUAAUAUGGUACAUCAUGGGAAAGAUAAUACAUACAGGUUCUAUAAAGACAACAAGAAGGUUAUCCUUGCUCCGAUAAAGUCAAAAGUCAAGGGAGCCUAUCUUUUAGUACAAAAGACAUAGCUGAAGUAGAAUCGAUGCCUGAAUAAGUCCAAUCGCUACUCUCAUAAUUUCAAGAUAUCAUGCCUAAAGAGCUUCCUAACAAGUUACCUCCUAUAAGGAUUACCUGUGACUCAAAUUAAAAGAGAACUUGUAAUGGUUUGCCCCUACAAGUCUAUAGUUUUUAAAAGAACCAUACUAAAAAACAAGAAGAAAUUGAAAUUUUGGUACUUUCGAGUUUUAAGAAAAGUUGAUGCAAAGUGCUACACUUUUGCAGUGCAAGAUCAAUUACUCCUUUGUUACAAGCUUUAUCCUCCAUAUUGUCCUUUGUUUUCAGCAAAACUAUGAGUUUUUUUUCAAAGAGGAGGAGACUGAUGUAGGAAGUAUAUACGAUAGAAUAUAUAAAAAAUUAUAGUAUUUGAGUCGAUUUAAUAUUUAAUAGUCUAUUAAGAUUUAUCCUGUUAGAGUAUAAGUUUUCUAGUUUAAUUAGGAAUUACUUUAUAUCUCCUUAUUUAAAGUCAUAUUCCUUUUACUUAUAAGGAAUCAUAAUUUUAUUAGGAUAGGAUAAUCUUAAUUAGUAUAAAUAGGCUUAUUAUGCUUGUUUCUUGACACAAGCUUUUUCAUUAAUAAUAUUUAGUAUUUCUCAAUUGAGAUAUUUUCUCCUUUGUGAGAGCUCACUUUCUUGAGUUUUCAAGAACGUACGCUAGAACUAAAUCUAGUAUCGCUUCCGCCCUGCAUCAUAAAUUAUCAUUAAAUGUAAAAUAAAACAUAAAUUAAUUAAAUAAAGCUUAAGACCUAUAAAUUGAUUGUAAAACAAGUAAAUUAGCAUAGGAAUGGUAAAAUGAUGUAUGAUUGAUAAACAAAAUAUAAACUUACAAAUAUUACACAAAACUUGCACUACAAGAAAACUGACAAUAGAUGACAGACACUUGUUGAUAGAUUCUGAGUGGGUCAUAAAAGCAUGAUAUAGUUGUGAUAUAUUUUUGGCUGUCAUAUAUUCAUGACUGAUUUGUGAUGGACUCGUGAUAGAAAAAGAGUAUGUCAAGAAUAUAUGAUGUCUUUGUGAUAUAAAUUUAAACGUCAAUAAGUCAUGAUAGAAAUUUAACGUUGCCUUAAUUUUGGCGCUUUUUUGACUGAAACUUUUAGUGUUAUUUAAAAUAAAAUAUUACACAAAGGAAGACACGUCAUCGUUUUAGGGAAGUUGGAACUAUGACGUUUUGUACAUAAAUAUAAAAUAUUAUAUUUUUAAAAUGUUUUAUUAUAAAAUAAAAUUAAAAAACAUGAAACGCACCGUUUUGGUGCUGAGUUUCACUUCUUCAAUCCCUAAUUUUUUCUAAGUAUUAACACAUACAACUCACAAACAUACAGAGAGUAUAGGGUAAGGCUAAAAUCUCAGCCAUCAUCUUACCCUCUUAUAUUGACUUCCUUUUCGCCUUCAUCUUACCAAAAUCUUGACCAUCGUCAUCUUGCCAUCGUCUUCCUAACGUAUUGGUUACCGAUUGCGUUGAGAAAUUGAGUGGGUGAAGGUGCAUUUUGUGGUAUCGCCAUUGUCUUCUUCUCCAUCAUGUUCCUCGCCAUCGUUUUCUGUCCUCAUCUUACUGUCUUCCUCACCGUCAUUUUUUGAAAGCCCUUGGUAUGAUUUCUAUUAUGUCUUUAUUUUGCAUGCUGUUUGUUUUGCACAGAUCUAAGUUAAAUCAAUUAAUUCUAUAAAUAAUCUAAUGAGAAAACCUAAUUAAAAAAAUAAAUUAUUUAAUUUGCUGAAAGAGAGCAAAGAAUGUAGGUUGUUAGGGUUCGCAGUAGCAGAAGCAACAGUAGUGUAGCAGGAGUGAAGUAGAUUUUAGAGAUGAAGGAUUAAAAAAAAGGGAUAAUUAUUUUGCAGCAGUAGUACUACUAGUAGCAGGACCAAGAGCCAAAUAAUUUGCCUAUUGUAGUAAAUUUGCAUGUCUAGGGGUUAAUUUUUCAUUGAAGUUUGGGGUUAUUAGGAAAUGAGUGAAGUAGCAGUACUUUUUUUUGCAACAAAUUUAUACUUAGAACCUAAUUAGAACCUAAUUUACCUUCUGAUGCAAAAUUGUAUUUUAUUUUAUUGAAAAGGGUAUCUGUGUUUUUGUUGACUCUGUGUUUUUGUUGAAGUAGCUUGCUGCCACCUCUUUUGUUGCAGAGUUUGCUGCAUCUCUUUUGCUGGAACAAUUUGGUGUAGAGGAAUUAAUUUUUAUUUGGUAAGUAAAUUGCACUUCUUUAUUUUUAGAGUUUUGAGUUCGUUAGUUAAUUAAUAGUUGCAUGAUAGCAAUUACUUUAAUAUUAUGGUCCUUUAUAUGAUUGUAUGAGGCUUUAUUUGUAUGUUAUGUUGUGGCUAUUGUAAUCUGUCUAUCUACUUGCAUUCUGUGUUGUGACUAAUGUAAUGUGUGGGGUCAAAAAUUUUUGUUAUGUUUAUCUUGCAAUAAGGGUAUUUAAAGUGGUGUUAAUUUGUACUUUUGCAUAUGUAGGGUUAAUUUUUUUAUUUAAGUAUGGGGAUAUUAGGAAAUGAUGAAGUUCCAAUACUGGUUUUGCAAUAAAUUUAUACUUAGAACCUAAUUAGAUCCUAAUUUAGCUUAUGGUGUUAAUCCUUUGUUUUUGUUGGAACAACUUGCUGCCACCUCUCUUGCUGCACAAUUAUUUCCUCUUCUCUUGCAGGAAUAGUUUGCUGUAGAGGAAUUAAUUUGACCUGGUAAAUAAAUUACACUUCUUUAUUUUAGAGUUUUGAGUUCGUUAGUUAAUUUAUAGAUGCAUGAAAUAUGUUUAAUAUUAUGGUCCUUUAUAUGAUAGCAUGACCUGAAGUUGUAUUAGGCUUGAUUUUAGUGUUGUGUUUAUUUACUACUGCAAUGAUUUUGAAUAUUGCAAUGUGUUUAAGUACUUGUAUUUUGUGUAGUGACUAUUAUAAUGUGUGGGGUCAAAAUUUGUUGUUUUGUUUAUGUUGCCAUAAGGGUAUUUAAAGUGGUGUUAAUUUGUACUUUGCUUAGAUAAAUUGGUAAUAUAUUCUGAUAUUUUAUUUAUUUGUAACAUGCUUAAUGUGUUAGGAUCAGAACUAAUUGAAACUGAAAAUGGAUAAGUUUUGGGUUCAUUGUAGUAAAAUGUCAAGUGAGUAUGAAGAUGGGGUUGAAGAAUUUAUGAAGUUUGCUGUUGGUAAUUCUGAAGGCAGUAGCGUCAUUAAAUGUCCGUGUACUAAUUGUAUGAAUUUAUCCUUUCGUACACAUAAGGUUGUUCGUGAACAUUUGUAUUUUCAUGAUUUUGAUGUUUCUUACACAACCUGGAGUUGGCAUGGGGAAGAUGUCAAUGACACACCAGUUCUUAAUGUAGAUGUAGAUGUUCCAUUUGAGUUUAUAGACUAUGAUGACGGUAACACAGUAGAUAUGGUUAACGAUGCUUAUAGGGAUUGUGCUGCAGAUCCUAAAGCAUUUAAAGAACUUCUAGAACAAGCUAACAAGCCUUUGUACCCAAGAUGUACAAAUUUCACUAAGUUAGGCACUUUGGUUAGCUUAUUCAAUAUAAAAGGGUAAAUUUGGGUGGUCCGACACAAGUUUUACCGAGUUAUUAAGUCUUCUAGCCAAGUUGCUGCCUGAAAGUAAUGAAAUUCCUGUGUCUAUGUACGAGGCCAAAAAGACAAUGUCCGCUUUAGGCUUAGAAUAUAUGAAAAUACAUGCUUGCCCAAAUGAUUGCAUACUUUAUAAAAAAGAGUAUGAAGGGUUGUCUGACUGUCCUAGUUGUGGUUUAUCUAGAUGGAAAAAAAAUGAUGGUAGUGUUGACCAAUAUAGGAAAGGGGUUCAUGCGAAGGUUUUAUGGUAUUUUCCGCCCAUACCUAGAUUUAAACGCAUAUUUCAGUCCUCAGAAACUGCCAAGGACUUGACUUGGCAUGCAAAUGAGAGAGCCGAUGAUGGUAAGCUCCGACAUCCGGCCGACUCGCCAUUAUUGAAAUUAGUAGAUAACAAAUGGCCUACAUUUGCAUUAGAUCCUAGAAAUCUCCAUCUUGCGUUAGCGGCUGAUGGAAUAAAUCUACAUAGCUCUCUUAGUAGUACAUAUAGUUGUUGGCCAAUUAUUCUUAUAACAUAUAAUCUUCCUCCGUGGUUGUGUAUGAAAUGGAAAUUCAUGAUGUUGUCCCUAUUGAUUUCUGGUCCUCAACAACUGGGCAACGACAUCGAUGUGUACUUGGCACCUUUGAUAGAAGAUUUACAAACUUUGUGGGCAGUUGGGGUAGAGACUUAUGAUGCCUACAGGAAUGAGUUCUUUAAUUUGCGGCCUGUGUUAUUAUGGACUAUAAAUGACUUUCCGGCAUAUGGAAAUCUAAUUGGUUGCCCUGUUAAAGGAUAUAAUGCCUAUCCAUAUUGUGGAGUAGACACUACUAAAUGUAGACUUAAACACAGUGGCAAAAAUGCAUAUAUCGGUCACCGUCAUUGGCUUCCUCAUGGUCAUGAAUUUCGAGACCAAGAGAAAGCCUUUGACAACACAAUAGAGAGAGAGUUUGCCCCGAAACUGUUGGAUGGGGAGAGUGUUUUGUGACUGAUUGAGUCUAUUGAUUAUAAAUGGGGGAAGAACAACUCUAAAAAAUGAAAAAGUUCUGACAAUGAUGAUCGCAUUUGGUGGAAAAAAAUCCAUAUUCUAUAAUUUAGAGUAUUAUAAGCAUUCACUUGUACGUCCUCAAUUAGAUGUUAUGCACAUUGAAAAGAAUGUGUAUGAGAGCAUAUACGGAACACUGCUGCAUAUUCCAGGAAAGACCAAAGAUGGUCUUAAGUCAAGGAAUGAUCUUGUGGAAAUGGGAAUUAAGAAUGAAUUAGCACCAACUUUUAAAAAUAACAUCUUACACAUUAACUAUAGAUGAAAAAACAAGGUUCUGCAAAGAUUUAAAAAGUAUUAAGGUUCCAGCUGGAUAUUCCUCAAAUAUAAAAAAUCUUGUGUCAAUGAAAGACCUUAAACUUCAGGGCCUUAAGUCACAUGACUACCAUGUUCUUAUGCAACAACUUUUGUCUAUUGCCAUUCGGUGUGUCCUGCCAAAGCAUGUUAAAGAAGCUGUGAUCAGGUUGUGUUUCUUCUUUAACUUGCUGUGUUCCAGUGUGGUUGAUGUGUCAACAUUGGAAAAAUUAUAGGCUGAGCAUAUGGUGACUUUGUGCUUGUUAGAAAAAUAUUUUCCUCACUCUUUCUUUGACAUAAUGACACACUUGGUUGUGCAUUUAGUCAAUGAAGUUAGACUAUAUGGCCCGGUUUACCUUCGAUAGAUGUAUCCUUUCGAGAGAUACAUGAAAACUCUUAAGGGUUAUGUCAGGAACCGCAACUGUCCUGAGGGUUGUAUAGCGGAGAGUUAUAUUGCGAAAAAAGCAUUAGAAUUUUGUGCAGAAUACAUGUCAAACAUGAAUACAGUUGGGGUUCCACUUGGACAUGUGCAAAACCUAUCAAAAGAUAAGCCAUUAACUGGUGGGAAAGUGGUACCAAUUCCUCCACAUUCACUAGAUCAAGCGCACCUGUACAUCUUGCAUAACACGCAAGAGGUGGUACCAUGCAUUAGGUAAUUUGGUGCAUUUCUUCAAUUCUAUAUAAUUUAUUUCUAUAAUUUUUAGUCUAAUUUUUUCAUGUUCUGGAUGUCUAGUGACCAUAUGCAGUGGCUUAAAACACGUUAUUCACAUCAAAAUGACAAAUGGUUGCCAGAGGAACACAACCGUACCUUUGCCGGUUGGCUAACUGAUAAGGUUCUAGCACGUAUAUAAUUAAUUUUCACAAAGAAAUCUCAACUUUUUUUUCACUUAGUAAAGAUGUUUACUUUUCUUCCUUGUCUUGUUAGGUAUAUGACUUGAUUGAAAAAGGUGAUCACGUAUCGGAUACUUUGCGAUGGUUAUCACAUGGGCCUCUUCCUUUUCUAACUAAACAUAAUGGUUAUGACAUUAAUGGUUUCCAUUUUAUUACACGAGAUCGAGACUCAAGUCAAGUAACUCAAAAUAGUGGAGUUAGUGUAGGUGAUUCUGAUAUAUGUGAUAUGACAUAUUAUGGAGUUAUAGAUGAAAUUUGGGUACUUGACUAUCAUUUGUUGAAAGUCCCUAUGUUGAAGUGUGAUUGGGUUCAAAGUAGUAAGAAGGAUGAGCUUGGAUUCAUCUUAGUAAACUUAAACCGAUUAGGAUAUGAAUCUGAUCCAUUUAUAUUGGCUUCUUAAGCCAAACAAGUAUUUUAUGUAAACGAUCAGAUUCAAACAAAGCGGUCUAUUGUCUGUUAUAUGCCUAGUAGAAGUAAUCCUAAUAAAACAAAUGAAGAUGAGGUCAAUAAUGUAACAGAAUAUCCUCCCUUCACCAGAGAAUUUCCAACUAAUGAUUUGUUACAUUUUACAAAUGGCAACCGCGCAAUCUAUGCACGAAAUAGCAAAGAGGGAAUUUGGGUUACCAAUUGAUUAACUUUUUUCCAGUAAGUGUUUAUUCAACUAUUCAGUCUAUGUUACAAACUAAUAUGAUAAUGAAUUAUUGUAGCUACUUUAUUCUUGCAGCUGAUUGAAUGUUAUAUAGUUUUAUAUUAUCAGUUAACUAAUACAAUUUAAUUUACUUAUUUCAGGUGCAGUAAUAUAGCUAAGGGAAAACAUGUAGUGGCUGAUGUUGCUUCUAAUCAGGAAGCUUAUUUUGAAGACGAAUACGACGACUUAUUUGCCGUGGUAGAUAAUUUAGCAGAUGCAAAAAACGAGGCUCAUUUUGAUGGUGUUGAGAUGGAUGGUGUUGAGUGUGAUGGAGGUGAUAAUGAUGGUGCUGAUUUGGAUAGAGGUGAUUUUGAUGGUGCUGAGAUGGAUGGUGUUAAUUUCGUUCCUCCUGAUGCUGAUGUUCCUGAAAGCAGUAACUCUAGGAGAGGUGUAAAUAUGGGAGCUAGGCAAAAUAAAAGACUUAAAACAAAGAAGGGAAAUAUUGUGGUACAAUACAAUAAAAUGGGCGUUCCAGCAGGCGAUGAAGCCACUGAGUUGGCUUCUCUUAUUGGGGUAUUAGCUCGUACAUCAGUUUUAAUUCUCUAUUCCAACUGGCGUAAGGUUCCGCUGGAGACAAAAGAGGUUUGUGGAAAUCUGUUCUGUUAAUUCUUAAAAAUCCACUACAUUCUACUUAAUCCUUUUGCUGUCAUUUUUCAAUUAUGUACUUUUAUGUAACAUAAUUUUUAUUAACUGUCACUUAAACAAUCUUCCUCUUAUUUAGGGUCGUUUCAUUGUUCAUCCUAGAAGUAGGAAGUAGGUGAUACAAUCAAUUGGAAUAGCAUUUCGGAACUUCAAGUAUAUGCUAGCCAAAAACUAUAUCUGGAAGUCCAGAAAUGAUAAAAAGAAAUUGUAUGCACCCGCAAUUGAGUACCCUCAAAUAAAACGUCCUAUUUGGAUAAAGUUUGUCGACCAAAGUUUGUCGGAAUCGUUUGAAGUAAGUAUUUUCAAGUUAGGACAAGUAAUAUGUUAGUAGUUACAUUAUUCAAGUUAGGACAAGUAAUAUGUUAGUACUUACAAUAUAUUUACCUUGUGUUAUGACUAAUCUAAUUACGCAGAAAAUCAAUCGUGUCAAUAAGAACAGGAGAGCUUUGAACAAGUGCAAUCAUCGCCUUAGUCGAAAAGAAUACAUUGGAUUAAUGAAAGAAAUUGUAAGUGUGUUAAAUAUUUAAAUUGUUAAUGAAAUAAUUUAUAUAUCAGUUAAGCAUGUAAAUUUUUUGCUUUGUUAAAUAUUUAUUAAAGGUUUAGUUAACUAUUAAAUUUUGUAACAGUUAACUAAUCUAAUUUCUUUAUCGAAGUAGUGUGCAAAAUCAGGGCUUUCUGAAGAGUUAAUUAACAGGAGUGAACUAUGGAAGAGAGCUCAGAUGCUAAAGAAUGGAGGACACGACUUUGAAACUGAACAGAUCAUUAAGAAAAUGGCAAUAAAGUUUAACUAGAACAAACAUUGUUUUUGAAGUCUGAUCUAUGCUCAUUUAAUAAUAUUAGUUUUAUGGUGGGUUGUUAGGAAAUGCUAGAGAAAGAGGACAAAAAAGACUCAUACAAUUCGGAUGCAAGAAAUGACUUACUUGCACAAGCAUUGGGAAAGCUUCCUCGAACUGGUCAUAUGCAAGACUUGGGCAAAUUUAUUUCUGCUUCUAUGUGCUUUCACUGCCUACAUGGACCCAUCUGAAAUGAGAGAGAGAGGGAGCUGGAUGCUUGCAAAAAAAUCAGUAGAUGAACAAUUGCGAGAAAUUUGCAAAGAAUUGAAGAGGACACCUUACCAUUCAGAUGUUGGAAGUUUCACUUUCCCACAUAAUAUGGUCGAUAAUGACACUAAGGGAGAUAUACAUAAGGUACUUUAGUUAUCUGUGUUACCCAAAUUUUUCCUGAUUUAAGUAUUUUUCCUUGUAUAUCUUCCACUCUGAAGAAGAGGAAAUGGAUGUUUGGUCAAAGGGACGAACAUCCUAAAGUAUCAACACUAAGAAAGAAAGAAGAAGUUCAGAAGAAAGAAGAGCCACCAAAAAACACAACUACUGCCAUUUCGAUGAAGUCAGCCAAAAAUGAUGACAGUGAAAAUGACAAUGAAGGAGAUGCACAUAAGGUUAGUUUAUUCAUAAUAAAUGGUUGUAUUUUUCCUAGAUUAUGAUUUAUUGCCUUGUAUAUUUACUAUUCAAUCUAGUUUAAUAUACUUACUAUUUCAUAUAAUUAAUCUUCACAGGUAGAUAAUUUGGGCAAGCCACUAGCAAAUGCCGCUGCUGCCAUUCCGGUGAAGUCAACAAAAAAUGAAGGCAGUGAAGGAGAAGUGCAUAAGGUUAGUUAAUAAAAUAAAUUGUAUUUAAGCUGUUUUUGUCUUUGUAUGUGUGAUUUCUUUUUUUAUUGGCUAAUUGUUUACUAACAAUUUGAUAUCAAUAACAUCCACAGGAGCCAGAUGAUUUGGGCAAGCCACCAAAAAAUACUAUUACUGCCAUUUUGAGGAAAAGUCCAAGACUUAAUCCUUCAAUCCCAAAGGAUUAUGCAAAUGAUGAGAGGAAAAUAGUUGGAAGCAAUAAAAAGCAAUUGGAUUUUGAAUGUCUUGAUGGUACAUCUAAUGGUAUACAAGAGAGGCAUCCUGAUAGCCCAACAAAAAAGACAUUUUUGAAAAAGGAUAGAGCUAAAAAAGGUGUAGUGCAGCCUAUGAGGAACACAAGGAGUGCAGUAUUCAAGCACCAGAACAGUCAUCCUAUGCUGCAGGUAAAUUGUGUGAGAAAUACCUGCCUAAUGAAAAUGAUGGUGUUUUAACAUAUAUGAUUGAUGAUAAUGUAUUCCAAAGACAUGCUUGUGCGUACAUUGGGAAGAAAGAUUGCAAUGAACUGUUGUCAAUGCAAGCACUAGGAGUAGAUGUUAUUCAAGUAUAUAUGGCGUAAGUGGUUUAAUGAAUUUUCUUUACACUAUUUUAUUUGAAAUUAGUAUACUUUUUUUAUUGAUGCACUGAUUUUCUAUUUAGGAUGUUGGAUUCCACCAUUCUACCAACCAGAAAAGGAAUAAAACCAUUUGGAUUCAUGUGUCCAAGUUUAGUUUGCCCAACAAAUCCAAAGGCUGUAGAAAAAUUUCGCUCAAAGAGAGUUGAGCAUAUCCACCACCGCUUGAAAAAGGCCAAAAAGGGACAAUUCAUUCUCAUGCCAUAUAAUCCUUUGUAAGUUUUAAUUUUCAUUUAAUACUUUUACGGUUGUUUUUGAAUUUAUAUUACUUUUACAACUGUUUGUUAAUUCAUGGUUUUGUUUUCUGCUUUUUUUCCAACUGCCUUCUCCUAUUGUAGCUACCAUUGAGUUUUAGUUGUGUUUGACGUGGUGAAAAAUGAAGUGUUUUAUGUAGAUCUUGUGCAGUCCAGUCCUGUUACUGAUUUAGAACAGCUCCUUAAAAUGUAUGUAUGCCAAUCCAUUUCAUGCAAUUGAUAUUUUAAGAUUUUUCAAUAUAAUUAAGAGAUAACACUUUGAUUUUUUUUUUAUAGCACCAUGACACUCUUCACAGCAGAGGAUAGUAAGGAAAAAUGGAAUUAUAAUUCUAAGAUGAGAAUUGUGAAGGUAAAAAAAAAAUAACCCUGUAGAAACUAUAUGUGCUUAUUGAUUACAUAACUAAAAUGAAUGAGAUUUUGUAAGUUUAUUUUUUUUUUGUGGCAUGAACAGGGUCUGAAACAAAAUAUCGCAAAAUUGGAGUGUGGCUAUUAUGUGUUAAGAUACAUAAAGGAAAUAAUAGCUGAUGUUAGUUUGUUAAUGAACAAUGUAAGUUGAUGAUGGCAUUUCACUACCUUUCUUUUAUUCCAUAUAUGUGACAUUAUUUUUUAAGUUUGACCUCUUAAUAAUCUUGUGAUUAACAGUUUAAUGGAAAGAAAUUAUACACUCAGGACGAAUUAGAUGAGGUUCGUUUGGAGUGGGAUAACCAUUUUUCCGACAUCCUUGUUGCAUCAGCAAAAUGGUUAGUAUUAGUAUGAAACUAUAAUUAUUAGUUAUAAAAUUUAUUGAAAUUAAAGUUAUAGUAUCAAAUUAUAAUGGUUACUAGCUGUUAACAAUUGUAGUGUACGUGUUUUGCAUUCGAUAACAUUGGGUAUUUUGAUUGAUUCCGAAUAGAUUGGUAUUGGUUUGCUGGGUUUCGGUUGGAGGGUUGCUGGGUAUGUGGCUGGAAGAUAUACCAGUGGUGUGGACAGCUGUUGGGUUGGAAGAUGCUGGGUUGCUGCUGAAUGUGUGUUGGGAGUGUUGUUGGGUAAGUGGCUGGAAUAGCAAUGAAGUGUAGUUAGAAGAUGUAUUGCUGCUAGAGGUUUUUGUUGGUGUGGAAAGAUGUAUUGGCCUGCUGCCGUUAUGCCAGUGGUGUGGAAUGAUGCAUGUAUUGGCUUGGUGGCUGGAAUUUGGAAAUCUGUUCUUGUAGUUUAACUGGAUGAAUUUUUUUUUUAAUUUCGGAUGUUGCUUAUAUAUGUAUUGGUAGUGAUGACAAUAUUAGACACUAGAUGUAUUUAUUUUGAAAUUAACUUGUUGGAAUGAAUGGAUGUUAAUUAAUAUUAAUUAUUUUUAUUUUUUUAUUUUUUUCAUGAUACUCAUUUUUAUUAAUUAAUUAAAUUUGUAAACAUGAAUACAAAAAUUAAUUAUAAUUGUUUUUUUUAAAUUAACUUUAUGACAGGAAAUUCCCAUCAUAUGGUCUGUCAUAAAGAAUUUCCUGCCAAAAAAUGAAUAAUAAAUUUACAAAUGAUAACAUAAUUUCCCACCAAAACUGAAUAAAAAAUUUACCAAUUACAAUAAAAUUUCCAGUCAAAAUUCAAAAAUUUGGCGCAAAAUUUUAAAUAAAUUCAAAUUUUAAUUUAAUUAUUUUUUCACAUUAAAAUAUUACGUGACAGAUAUAUGACUAUAAAAUACCAUCGUUAAUUUAUGACGGUAAAUAAUCUGUCAUACAUUAAUGACAGUGGACAUAGAUGACAAAUGAAGUGUCUGUCAUGCACCCCCCUUUUUAUGAACGGUUAUUUUUCCGUCACCUAUUGCAUGUUUUCUUGGAGUGUUGUAAAUUAAAUUAAGGUGUAAAUAAAAACAUUAAUUUNNNNNNNNNNNNNNNNNNNNNNNNNNNNNNNNNNNNNNNNNNNNNNNNNNNNNNNNNNNNNNNNNNNNNNNNNNNNNNNNNNNNNNNNNNNNNNNNNNNNNNNNNNNNNNNNNNNNNNNNNNNNNNNNNNNNNAAAUGAACUUAUUAUUGAGCAUGCAACUUUCCUGUAUUUAAGAUAUUUCCCAAAAUCUAACGUGAUUGAUAAUGCAAUCCUUUUGACAUGAUUUAGCAUUAUUUUUGCCAUUCUUAGGACUUUUCUUGGAUAUAAUCCAUAGUGAUUAUUUUAUUUUAGGUAUAUUUUAGUUAAUACAAGGAUUCUAUGACCUAUUUGAGUUUUUAUUAUUUAUGGAAAGCAUAGUAAUCAAUUCCUACACAAAUUACACUUUCCUGCUUCUAUAAGGUCUAGGUUUAUAUCUCUAUAUAAGUACAUCACUAAAAGGCUCAUCAACUUAAGGCUCAUCAACUUAAAUUUUACAUAUCAUUUGAAGAGGCAAAUAAUAAAAAAAAAUUCCCAAGGCUCUCUAAAUGAGAUUAAUCUAAUAAAAUUAUCCUUCUCUCUCUUCAAUAUCUUCUCAUUAUUGAAUGGCCAGAUAUGUUAUAAUAAUUAUUAUUUUGGUGGAGAAAAAAGUUUGAUUAAAAUAAUAUUGAAGAGAGAGAAAGACAGUCUUAUUUAAAGAAUCUCACUUAAAGAGAUUUUUUGAGCUUUUAAUUUAGUAUUAUAUUACUUUUUAUAUCUUCUCAUUCUUGAAUGGAGAGAUGUGUUAUAAUCAUUAUAUUUUGGUGGAGAAAAAAGUUUGAUUGAAAUUAUAUAUUAGAAGAGUCUUUACGGAGAUGGCUAAUUUUUUCAUUCUUCUAUUCGUCACAUGGAUAAGCAAAUAAAUAUUUGAAGAAUUAAAUUAGAAGAGUCAUUUGGUGAUACUUUCAGGGCUAUUGCUUAACUCGUUUUUGUCAUUAUUUCUCACCUAAAUAGCAGCCUAUAUCUCCAUAGCUUCUUCUUUUUUUAAUUAUCUUUCAGUUGCACAUCAUGGUUUCCACAACAUCAAGUUCAUACUUCGAAAAAUGCUAUAGCAAUCUAUAGCAAUCAUGCAAUCUUGCAGCAACUCAUAAGAACAGUAAAAAAACCCAUUUAGAUUGUUUGUCACUCAACUACAAACAGAUUUAGUUCAUACUUCGAAAAAGAAAAGCAAACAGUAAAGUAUUAGCCAUGAAAUACAUCGUUUCAAUGAAAGAGCAAGAAAAUGAACAAGUAAAGAACAAUGAAAAUUGAAUCCAAAUUGGUCUGCUGAUUUCUUCACUGAUGCAGACUUGCAUUUCCCUUGAAUUAUGAUUUUUCCUUCUUUUCCUCUUGAUUUUCUUGAUGUCAAUUCACCGCCACCCUUUUUAUGUGUUGCGCGCUCUUUUUAUAACUGAAAACUAGGGUAAACCAAACCCUAGGGCACGCAUGAUUAAGAUUAAGAAACUGCAGAUCGCAAUUCUGCAGAUAUCCCACGCUAAGUUUUCUCUAUAGUUGUUCCAGGAUUGCUACAGCAAUGGUUGCCCCAACAACGGCUAUAACACUGCACUACUUCAGAUCUUGUUUCAAUUAUUUUGUGGCCAUAUUCUUCUUCCUUUUUGCCAUCCUAUUACAUCAGCAUCCCUUCCAUAAAUUAUAGACUUCUGGAAAUCUACAAUUAUGCACACAAUUUGAGUACAAAUUACCUUAAAUCACGCAAAACUUAUCAAGGCUAAACUAAAAUGAAUGUUUAUGCAAAAUAUAACAAAAAUGCAAUAAAAACACAUCAUUUACUCUCUAAGUGAUCUUGAUUUGAGUUUAAAAUGGCCAUAAUAACUCUCAUUUCAUAGAGUUAUCACCCAACUUCACAAAUGCAAGUGCAAACUUCUUAAUAGCACGAUGAGAAAUUGACUCCAAAUUGUCUUGAAAAGAGAAUAACUACGGUUAAAAAGCAUCAAGUAUCGUAUUAUAGAAUGCGAUAAUUCCUAUGACCACACCGUCCACUGAUGGCAGUGCUUCUCCACCGCCAGAACCUUCUCUAAUUGCUGGCGACAUCCCCACUGAUCAACAACCCUCACAACAACUAUUAACAUUUCAAACCAUAAACCCUAGAUUGCAACAAACCUUUCAAAAUAUGCUCUACGUUGUCGCCACCUUGCCUACCUCCGUUGGUGGCGAUUACUUACUGACGGAACCACCAUUGAACCUUAUGUACUCCUAACAGUUGCUUCUCACCCUCCAUGUACCACCAACCCCCUCAGGCACCAAUACGCACGAGCACAAUCAAAACUCAGGCACCACUUAUUGCCCACUAUUUCCGACUCCUUUUACUAAGACAAAUCCCCUUAGCUGUAAUAUAUCUCACCAACACCUUGCUGUCUCUCUUUUGGCCACCGCUAGUGGCACCAUCAACCUGCCGGCCGCCUCAUAUCAGCCACUUUUGACCACCCAAACCCACUCUACUAUUUAAAACUGAGACUAGCUGCUAAAUGCAGAAAACCUUAGCUAUAAUAAAGAAACCCUAGCCAACAUCUGGCUUUCCAAACCAAAAACUAAACCAAAUAUCAAGCCCAAACCCAUGAUCAUUUUUCCACCCCUUACUCUUGGUCAUACAUCCAACCCACCCUGAAAGGCCUCUUUUGCAUCUAUUACGAAUCCUGAAGUUAUCCUCAACCCUAAUGCUAAAUCUUUUGUUGAUGUUAUUGCUAGCCCCCUAGAAUCUUCAAUUUAGGAAAAGCCAGUUUUAAUAUUUCAUGGUAAAACUGUUAUCAACUUUUCAGCUAUAGAAAUCCAGCCCAUAGCGUAACCAUCUAAACUUUCCCUUGUUAGUAAGUUUUUGUUUUGCCGCCCUCCUGUAGAUAUGAUAAACAAAUUCUUUGUUUCUUGAGUUUUAAAGGUAGUACACAGGUUUCUUUGCUAGAUAAUUGAUCAAGCUUUAACUUGGAGAGGAUUUCUCAUGUAUUUGGGUUAGGCACACUUGGUAUGUUAGUGGCAGGUUCACGCGUACUUUUAAGUAGUCUAUAUUUAUGCUCUAAGGAGUCUCAGUUGUUCUUGUCUAGGUGUCUUUGCCUUAUUUACCUGUGCAUUUCAUUCAUUGCAGAGAUGCUUUAUUUUCUAUUGUAAAUGCUAUUAAAAAUCCUUUACGGGUGGACCGUGCCACUGCUGCUAUUAAUAGGCCCUCGGUGGCUCAUGUACUCAUUGAGUAUGAUGUUUCACGACAAUUGUUGCCAAGACUUUGGAUUGGUAAGGGUGAUAAUGGGUUUUGGCAAGAUAUCAUCUAUGGGCGUGUUCUGUUAUAUUGUGCCACGUGUAACCAUCUUGGUCGCUUUGCUGAUGCUUAUUUUGUUACUAAUCAUGGGCUCUAGAAGCCCUAGUAACCUAUUGAUUAGGUGAAGGAUAUAGUUGCUGAUGAUACAAGUACGAUACUUAUUACUGAUGGUGUUGUCCAGCCUACUAAGGAUUUUGCUAAGUUUGUGGUUACUAAGGAUAAUCGACUACAGAGGCCUGCUCUCGUCCAAGGUCAGUCUUUAGGCCUGGCCCCCUCGAUGAUGUUGCUUGGCCGUCUGCUCUUUUUCCUCAAGAUACUGUAGACGCGACAUCUAAUUCGAUUUCUGCUCUGUGAGUUCCAAAUGAUAAUGGCUUGCAACAUAAUGUUGCUCUAAGAGAUGCUGAUGGAUGCACUAAGGUUGCUAAUUCUCUUGUUUUGGAUAAUCCGAGUGCUCUAAGGGCUUCCACAAGCUUUACUUUUUCAGGUCUAUAGUGGAUGAUAUUCACUCCAUGGUUGUGAGUUUUGAUUUUUUUUAAUAGUCAUAAGAGCACUAUAGAUGCUACAACAAUGCUCAUAACUCUUGUUGCCUUUGGACUCAAGUCUGCAUAUGGAGUACAUACUCAGCCCUGGUUACUUAGGGACUUGAGCCAUUGGAGCUAAAUUUAUUUCAUAAUGAGCACAAUUUAACCAAAAUUUUCCCCCAGCUUGAGAUAGUCUACUUUUUUUUCUUGGCUUUGCUACAACAUUCUCAUAAAACUCAAUCAAAGCUUAAGUGUCAGGACAAAAUUUCAACCUCCAUCUAUCACUAUCUCUACUUGGCAUUCUCAUAAAUACUGAAUAACACUCAAUUUAUCUUCAUAAGGUUUUCAAAUCCAAAAAAAAAAUAUUAGUUAACAGAGCUUCACACAAUACACAACACAAGCAUAAACAUACGCAUGCAUUCAGAAACACAACCCCCCCCAAACUUGAGUGGUGUUGUGUCCUCACAAGCACACAAAACAAAACCACAUAAACUAUACAUGCAUACGCUAAAUAAAAGGGCAUGUAGAAUGAAUCAGAAAAUUAAAACUGAAUGAAAGAAAAGUUGUCCAGAAAUAAAUAAAAUAACUAGCAAGAACAGGGUACUCCCCUAUUGCUUCGGCACUGCUGCAACAUGGUGUAGUGACUUUAGCGCUUUUUGGAUGCACUUCGCAGCCUAUCCUUAGGGGAUUCUUAUGGUGAGGCAGCAUGCAAUGUCUUUUUCUUUUUCUGCAACGGGCUGGUGGUAGGGGUGGUAGUUUGUGCAUCCUGCCUAGAUGAAACAGAUCUGGUUCAUUUUGGUUCUGGUGUGGCUACUGCAACAACGCCUCUAGAAGUGCCCCCCUUUCUUUUGUUGGGUCCCUUAGGACUAGUAAGAGUAGGUUUUCUGGGGGUUUAUUGUGAAGGGGCUAGAGUUAGGGCUUCGGCUGCCUGUCCCUCAGUCGUGAUUGCGGCAAUGAUAUUAAGCAGCUACUUUGUCUCUGUUUGUGUACGCGUAACUCUGGCUACUGCAGCUUCUAAAGCUGCCUCAAUUUGCUCAGCUUCAUCAUCAGAGGCAGAAGGGGUGAUUACUUUCUCUUUGCCCUUUCGAGAAAGGACUAGAAUAUGAAGCUCAUCUGCUGGUUCAUCAUCCUCUUCUUGUAUGAUGCACUUUUUUCUGAAUUUGUAGAGGGUCUUGGCUGGGGAUUCCUUAAGUUCUCUCUUAGGCUCUUCCUCUGCCGGGGAACUGUCAAUUGCGGACUUGACACCCUCUUCUUCAGGUUGGUCAGAUUGGUCAUCAGCAUCUGUUUCGGCCUCUGCUUGCGGUUCUACUGUAACUUCUUCCUCUGGUUCAUCUGUGUCAAUAGCUUCUUCACUGACUUCUACUGGAGCUUCUGUAGUGUUGGUAUCAAAAUUAUAUUGCUGGAGCAAUGAAUCAGGGAAAUUUCGGUGGGUACUUUUCAUAUAUACAACAAAUUUGUGUAAGUGGCUUUCCAAGUGUUGCAAAUAGCUCCAAAAUCGAUUGUUUUCCCUCGGCUGAGCUUCAGCACAUUAAGUGAUGCCAGUGCUCAGUGUUUGGAUUCUUUGUUCUAACCCAAUAACUUUUCUUGCCCCUAUUACAGCAGCUGGUUUAGAUAGGGCUCCAGUAACUUCACCAAUAAUUCUUUCGAUGGUGCGUGCAGUGAGGACACCAUCAUUCUUGACAUGCUCAUCUUUUGCAUCAAGGCGAGCUCCCGAUACCACAUAGAUGCUGGUGAUGAGCGAAAGAAAUAGCAAAGCUGCUGGUUUGUGGUUUUUCGUGGCACAGUCUCGAAUUUCUUUUUCUAUAAUGCUUCCCACAUCUAUGGGUAACCCUCUAAUAAUGACAUACAAUAGUACUAACAUUUCUUGUGAAACAGUAGUGGUGUGGGUGGUUGGCAUAAGUCUGGAUUUUAGAAAUUUCACUCACACUUUAGCAAUGGGUUUCAAAUCUAUCCUAUUAAUCACACACCCUUCUUCAUUAGCCCACAAUGCACCCUUUACAGUGAGUGUUGUGAAAAUUUUAUUCCAUUUUUGUGGGGUUAAUUUGUCAAGCAAUUUGUCAUACUCGCAAUUAACUUCAGAAGGUAAGUUAUAGAAAGCAUUUAUAACUCGGGAAUCUAAUGGAACAAGUGAGUUUCUUACCCAAAUAUUAUGCUGACCAGGGCUUACCAAAUUCGCGUAAAAUUCUUUCACCAGUGGCAACACAGGGUCUCGAGGGUGGUUGCAAAACUCCAGCCAUCCGCGCUUUGCUACAACAUUGUAUAAUGAUUGCACAAUUCGUGUGGGUUGAGGUGGGAACUGAAACCCUUUUUCUUCCAGAAUCUUGCACGGUUCAAUAAAUUCUUCAUAUUUUUCUUCUGUAUGGUAACUUUGGAAUCGUGAGGGAUCUUUUAGUCGACUGGCUGUCCUUUUGUACCCUGGCAUUGCGAUAGCACUAAGAGUUUGAUGGUAAUAUACCCAAGAGUAAAAUGAGAAGAAAAGGUUAUGGAGUAUUAAAGUCGUAACUGCGAAGGGGAAAGAAAAUAGUUUUAAAGGUCAAUAUGCACAGUGAUGCCCUUAUAUAGGUGGGAUUAAAUGAAAACAAAUCUUGUAAAAGAGAUAAAUUAGAGAAGAAUUUUUUUCAAAUUUAUUAAGCACAUCCAAUAAAAAUAGGCAAGAGAAAUUAAUGUGUUAAUUUAAGAGAUAUUCUUCCUCAAUUUUUAUCCAAAUCCACCCAACCAUCUGUCACAUAUUAUUUCUAACGGUAACGUGAGAGGCUCCGUGAUGAAGUUACUGUAACGAUAAUAUUGGUUGCUGCAGUACCCAAUUGUGUGCUCUAGCAACGAUUACACAUUCUCCUCAAAUAGUUGCUGACACGUGGUUUUCCUCUGUAAUAUGUCAAUAUUACAGCCCCAAUUGUUAAUAUUGAAUCUAAUAAAUGCGUGACCUGACAAAAAAAAAUAAGAAAAGAUAAGAGAUAAAUAAUCCUAAAUAAGGGAAAUAAAUAAAAAAAAUAAAAAUAAACAAAACCAGGGAGGAUCCAUCUCAUUUGAAAUAACUGCCUCCGUAAUGGGUUACCUCCUAUUGAGCGCUUGAUUUAAUGUCCUUCAGCCUGACCUUACUUGAGUGCUCAAAUAGCCGAUUCUCUAAGGAGUAAGACCUCCUUUGAACAAUCUGUAACUGAAUGCAUGUAAUACUUAACUCGAUGCCCAUUGACUUUGAAUUCCUGGCCUGUCUUUUCAUCUAAGAGAUCAACAACCCCAUGAGGGUAAAUUCUGAGCAGCUUGAAGGGUCUAGACCAUCGAGAUUUCAGUUUGCCUAGAAAUAGUCUCAACCUCAUAUUAUAGAGCAGCACUAGUUGACCAGGGACUAAUUUCAUGUGUUGGAUGUGUUUGUCAUGCCAUUGUUUUGUUCUCUCUUUAUAGAUUCUUGCAUUUUUAUAUGAGAAUAGUCGUAAUUCAUCAAGCUCACAUAAUUGAAGUUUCCUUUGUUCUGCUGUAGCAUGUAUAUCCCAAUUUACUUGCUUCAAUGCCCAAUAUGCUUUGUGUUCUAACUCAAGUGGCAAGUGACAAGCUUUCCCAUACACAAUUCGGUAGGGAGGCAUGCCAAGUGGUGUCUUGUAUGUUGUUCUGUAAGCUCAUAGGGAGUCAUGUAAGCGCAAUGACCAAUCCUUUCUUGAUGGGUUCACCACUUUUUCCAAGAUCUUCUUAAUCUUCUUAUUAGACACUUCUGCUUGACCAUUGCAUUAUGGGUGAUAUGUUAUUGCUAUUUUAUGCCUGACUCCAUAUUUCACCAUAGCUGCAACAAAUACUUUAUUGCAAAAAUGAGUACCUUCAUCACUAAUAAUUGCUCGUGGAGUGCCAAACCUGGAAAAAAUGCUCUUCUGAAGGAAGUUCACUACUGCUCUAGCAUCAUUGAUAGGUAAUGCUGCAGCUUCUACCCAUUUAGAGACAUAAUCCAUAACAACCAGGAUAUAUAAGUUCCCAAAGGAUAGUGGAAAAGAACCCAUGAAGUCUAUUCCCCAUACAUCGAAAAUCUCUUCUUCCAGAAUGUUCGUCAAUGGUAUUUCAUGUCUUUGAGUAAUGUUUCCUGACCUUUGACACCUUUUACAACAUUUAACAAACUCAUAAGCAUCUUUAAAAAUAGAAGGCUAGUAACAACCUGAUUGCAGAACCUUAGCAGCUGUUCUGUGACCACCAAAAUGUCCUUCAUAUGCUGCAGCAUGGCAAGGUUUCAGUAUCUGAGGAAUUUCUUCCUCUGAAACACAUCUUCGUAUCACUUAAUCUGAGAAUAACUUAUACAAAUAUGGGUCAUCCCACUAGUAGCUUCUAACACCAUAAAGAAAUUUAUUUUUUUGCUGAAAUUUUAACUCAGGUGGUAGCAAUCCACUUACUAAGUAGUUAGCAAAAUCUGCAUACCAUGGGGGUCCUGAUUGCUACAUAAUUUGUGCCUGUUGUAUCACUAACAGUUGUUCAUCAGGAAAAGUUUCAAUGAUGUCUUUUUUUGUCAAUGUGCUUGCGUCUGCUUCUAGCCUAGACAGAUGCUCUGCUACUUGAUUCUCAGUCCCUUUUCUAUCUUUAAUUUCCAAAUCAAACUUUUGAAGCAAUAAGAUCCAUCUUAUUAAUCUCGAUUUAGCAUCCUUUUUAGAGAUUAGGUGCUUGAUGGCUGUAUGAUCUGUGUAUACUGUCACUUUAGUACCCACCAAGUAGGCUCUAAACUUGUCAAAAGUAAAUACUACUGCUAGUAAUUUUUUCUCUGUAGUGGUGUAAUUAAUCUGAGCUUGAGUAAGAGUUUUGCUGGCAUACUAUAUAGAGUGGAAAACCUUAUUCUUCCUCUGCCCCAACACUGCCCCAACAGAAUGGUCACUGGCAUCACACAUCAGUUCAAAUGGUAGAGUCCAAUCUGGUGCUAUAACCACUGGUGCAGUGAUCAAAGCUUUCUUCAAUUCUUCAAAGGCUUAAAAACAAUCUUUAUCAAAAUGAAAAGGCUUGUCAUGUUCUAGCAAUGGCCACAAUGAUUUAACUCUUUGGAAAAGUCUUUUAUGAAUCUUCUGUAAAAUCCAGCAUGCCCCAAAAAACUUCUAAUCCCCUUGAUUGAAGUGGGAGGUGGCAGUUUAUCUAUCACUUCUAUUUUCGCUUUAUCUACCUCUAUGCCAUUCUUGGACACCUUAUAACCCAACACUAUUCAUUUUUGCACCAUGAAGUGGCAUUUUUCCCAAUUGAGUACUAAGUUAGUCAUCUAACAUCUUUUAAGAACUUUUUCCAAGUUGUGUAAACAAUCAGUAUAUGUCUCUCCGAAGACUGAGAAAUCAUCCAUAAAGACUUCCAAUGUUUGCUCCACCAUAUCCGAAAAAAUAGACAUCAUACAUAUCUGGAAAGUUGCUGGAGCAUUGCACAAACCAAAGGGCAUCCUUCUGAAGGCAAAAGUUCCAUAAGGACAGGUAAAUGUAGUCUUUUCCUGAUCCUCUAGGGCUAUAGCAAUUUGGUUGUAGCCUGAAUACCCAUCUAAGAAAUAAUAGUAUUAUUUUUCAGCAAGUCUGUCCAACAUUUGAUCUAUAAAUGAAAGUGGGAAGUGAUCAUUCUGUGUGGCUUUGUUGAACUUCCUAUAAUCCAUACAUACCCUCUAAUCCAGUUACUGUUCUUGUAGGAAUAAGUUCAUUUUUUUUCAUUUGCUAUCACUGUUAUUUCUCUCUUCUUUGGAACACAUUGAACUAGACUCACCCAUGAACUGUCUGAUAUCGGGUAUAUGAUCCCAGUAUCCAAUCAUUUGAUGAUUUCUUUCUUCACGACUUUCUUCAUAAUGGGGUUUAACCUUCUCUGUUGUUCUACUGAAUUGUUGUAGUAAUCUUCUAACAGAAUUUUAUGCAUGCAUAUGAAUGGACUGAUCCCUUUAAUGUCUGCCAUGGUCCAUCAAAUUGCUUUUCUGUGUUUCCCAAGCACAUCUACCAGGCUCCUUUCUUGACCUGCAUCCAAAGUAGAUGAAAUGAUUACAUGGAGUUUGUUGUUCUGACCAAGAUAAGCAUAUUUCAAAUGUGAGGGUAACAUUUUUAAUUCAAGAGUAGGAAGUGAUUCAAUAGAAGGUAAAGUUGUCUUUACUUCCUUGUCUGAAAGAUUUAGAGGUUCAACAAAUCUGCUAUGUCUGUUAGAUUGCCUUUCUCCCAUCCAAUCUAUCUGGUUUGCUGCAGUAUCUUCUUCUUCAAAGCUCUCAAAGGUUACAACUUUGAUGACCUUAGUACUACAGCAUCUAUUUACUUUGUUUGCUAUAACACAAUCCAAAACACUCAAGAAAUUGUAAUCUUCUACCUCAUCAGGAUUCUUCAUAGCCUCUAAUACAUUAAAUGUGACUUGUUGGUCAUUCACCCUCAUUGUUAGCUCUCCUUUUUGCACAUUUAUUAGAGUCUUCCCAGUUACUAGGAAAGGUCUUCCAAGUAUAAUGGGUACCUCUUUAUCAACCUCAAAGUCUAGUACAAUGAAGUCCACUAGAAAGAUGAAUUUGUCUACUUUCACCAGUACAUCCUCAAUCUUUCUUUCAGGGUAUGCAUCAGAUCUAUCAGCUAAUUACAGAGUGACUGUUGUUGGCCUGCAUUCUCCUACUCCAUACUGCUUAAAUACAGAUAAUGGCAUCAAAUUAAUGGUGGCUCCCAAAUCACAGAGUGCUCUGCCAUUGUACCUAAUUCCAAUAGAACAUAGUAUUGUGAAACUUCCUAGAUCCUUCAAUUUUUUUAGGUAUCUUACUUUGGAGCAUGUGACUGCUUUCUUGUGUUAAAGCAACAGUUUCAAAUUCUCCCAACCUUCUUUUUCUUGCCAAGAUGUCUGUUAGAAAUUUUACAUAAUUAGGCAUUUGCUCCAAUGCUUCCACAAAAGGUAUGUUGAUGUGUAAUUGUUUCAGCACUUCCAGGAAUUUACUAAACUGCUUAUCUUGUUUUUAUUUCUGGAAUCUCUGUGGGAAAGGAGGUGGAUGCCUAAAUUGCUGGGCAGCUUUAGAAGGUACCAAUCUCUACACAUUUGAUUUAUUGUAAGUUGUUAUCACUGGUGUUGCAACUUCUUCUUCAGCAUUUAUUGGUUGAUUCCCUUCCAAAGUUAUUGUAGCUUGACCACUAACACCAAUAUCUUGAUAACUGGGUUGCUAUAACAUGCUCUCAUCUUCAAGUUGUUCUUGUGAGGAGUUAAGUUCCAACAUUUUCUUAGUCACGUCAACAGAAAUAUCAACAUUCUUUCCAGAUCUUAGGUUGAUUACUUUACAGUGUGCUUUUCCCUCUCUUCUUAGAUCUUCUGUAUUGCUGGGUAAACUUCCCUGAGAUCUGCUACUCAUUGCUGUGGCAAGCUGUCCAAUUUGGUUUUUCAGGUUUCUUAGAGAUACAACUUGACUUUGCACAAUUGCUUCAUUCUUCACAAUGUAUUCCUUAAUCAGUAUUUCGAAUGAGGUAAGUGGAUCAUGGCUAGUGUGUUUUUGCCCUUGAUUUUGCUGAUGAAAACCAGGUGGUUGAGUAUUUAUGUUUUGUCCACUCAAUGUUGGAGCAUUUUGAUUCUGAUUGCCCCAUGAAAAAUUUGGGUGUUGCUUCCAUCCAGGGUUGUAAGUAUUUGAGUACGGGUUGUUUUGAGGUUGUCGGUUGAAAUUACCCACAUAGUUUACUGAUGCUGGAUUUCCAGGGUAGUUGUCAAAUACAUGUUCGUCACCAUAAUACACGCAAGACAGUUCAGCAACUUGCUUUACUGCUGCUGGAACAGAAGUCAUGGCUUUCACCGUGUUAGUCAAUGAAGUUACUUGUGCUGAUAAUGCUGUAAUUGCAUCUAUAUUAUGUACCCCCAUUGCUCCUCUCACUGUUGUCUGUCUAGUUGAUGGCCACUGAUAAUUAUUGUUAACAAUUCUCUCUAAAAUUUCAUAAGCUUUAAUGUAAGAUUUAGAUAACAAAGCUCCAUUUGUUAAAGCAUCAACCAUCAAUCUGGUACUUGGAUUCAACCCAUUGUAGAAGGUUUCUAGCUGUAUACAAUAAGGAAUGCCAUGAUGAGGACACCUUUUGAGCAGCUAUUUAAAUCUCUCCCAAGCCUCAUACGAACUUUCAUCUUCAAGCUGAUGAAAAGAAGUGAUCUCAUUCCCCAAUUUUGCAUUCUUGGUUGGUGGAAAAUACUUUAUUAAAAAUUUGUCAGCUAAUUCAUUCCAUGUAGUGAUGGAAUCAGAUGGUAAUGAGUUCAACCAUGCUCUGGCUCGAUCUCUUAAGGAGUAAGGAAAAAGCCUUAGUCUUAAAGCAUAUUGCGUUACUCCAAGAAUUUCAAAAGCAUCACUCACUUCCAAAAACAACUUAAGAUAGAGAUGAGGAUCUUCAGUUGGCAAUCCAUUGAAUUGACCCACUGUUUGCAACAUUUGAAACAUCACUGGCUUAAGUUCAAAGUUUGCGGCUUCCACUUCAGGUCUGACUAUUCCAGGAUGUACAACUUGAGGAGUUAACACAGCAUAAUCCCUGAUAGUCCUAUCUCUAUCAUCUGCCAUGUAAAUGAUAUUGCUGCUGCCUGGUUGUCUCUUAUUAACAUGCUCAUUUUGCCCAUCUUGAACAUUGACAGGUUGUAGUGGUCCGUGAGGGUCCAAGUUUCCCACAUCUUGCAAAUUAUCCAUCCCUGAAAUAGUUUUUGAAUUUCAUUGUUCUCUUCGCAGUCUUCUUAUGGUCCUUUCAAUCUUAGGAUCAAGGUGAAAUACAAUAGAACUGUCUUUAUGCAUGCAAGUAUUGAUUUGUCAAUAAACAGAACAAAUUAGAUCAAGUUGGCACUGUCAAGAUUGACUUCACACUUUGAAAAUAAACAAUCAAUCCCCGGCAACGGCGCCAAAAACUUGUUGGAUAAUUUUUAACUCAAUUGCUAUUGAUGUCAAUGUGCAAGUGAACACAAUAAGUAAUAAAGUGAUGAAUAUUCAAGAUCGUCUCCACAAGGAUUAAUGUUACUAGAAAGGCUACAACAAUCACGAUAGUGCAAACUUCUUUUGUUCCAAAAAGAUUAAAAAUUAAUUACCACUGAAAUAAACAAUAAAAGAAGAAACAAAAAUAAGUUAAUGCAAUAAUAAAUCAAAUUGAAUGAAUUGCGUAGGAAGAAUUCAAUAGGGAUGAGGUAGUUAAGUGAUCAAACUCUCUUCAGGGACUGACUGUUUUGUCUAAAUUAACACCAGUUGCUACAGUAAUUCUUACAGCACUAGGCAGAAUUAUUUUACAUCCUCAGAUGUCGCUUAUCAGAUUUCUCAUACCCUUAAGCACCUAACAAUGACUGUUAUAGUACAAUUUAUGCACUAGUUUUGCAUUGUUUACUUCCUUUAAUAUCGAUUUUUUGCACUUAAUAAUAGUUAUUUACUUGUGUUUUAUUUUUGUAAGUACAAUUCUAUUGAUUGGUGCUAAAAUUGAGCUACAAGAUGAUGUUUGAGGAUGAUUGUUUUCCUAGAAAAAUUAUGAGCUUCAGAAGAACUUUGUUGAUAAGGCGUGGGCGCGUGCUGUCGAUUACAGACCUGCAGUUUUUAGUUUAACGUAUUUUGUCUUUUUGGUUAUUUUUGUAAUUACUAAUUUAAUAUUUAGCUAAUAUUUUAGAUAUUAGUAUUUUAUUUUAAAAAGAACUCUAGAGGAGGAGAGAGGGAAGAGAAUUUAAGAGAGGAAUCUAUUGUCAAAGAAGGGAAGAAAAAGAAACCCUAGAUCUAAAUUUUUCUCUUCUCUAUGAAAAACUAAAUCUAUUAUUCUGGUUAAAGGUUAAUGAAGCUUUGAUUCAUCACUACUGUGAGAUCUUUCUUAUGCUUUAAUUGUUUUAUUACUUUUUGGGUAUUUUUUUAUUCUCUGAAUUAUUGUCAUGAUUAUGUUUGUUAAUUAGAUAAUUGGCCACUAUUUAAUUAUCAACUUAAUCUAUUAUCAAUUAAAAGAUUCAUCGUAUGAAUAUUUUAAUGUUUGUGAUAAAUAGCAUAGCAGUGCAUUGUGUAAUGAGAAUAAACAAUCUAAUUUAAAUGAACUAUCGUAUGCGUUUGUUGAUUAGGAUUUGGGUCUCUCUGAUUUUUCAGGCUGUCAAUUGAUUAAAUCAUAUGAUCGUAUCUAGGGUUGUCUAUUGAUUAGAGAAAUAACCAACAGUCGUACCUUGGUUAUUGACUAGUUAAGGAGAGAUUGGCUAUUAGAGAGUCUCAGUAGCUAUAACCGGUCUAUUCAUAAGUAGUAAUGAUUUAUAUUUGAAUCAAUGAUCAAUAGUCGAAUCAAGCUGAGUUAAUUCCUUCAACCAGAGCUUUCCCCAAUUUGAAUUACAAUUUUAAUUUGCAUUCUUGUUAUUUUAAUUUGAUUUUUAUUAUUGUCAACAAUUCCCCCAUUUUGCAUUUUAUAUUUUAAAAGGAUUUAAAUAAUUACUGAUCUCUGUGGACACGACCCUGCUCAAUUACUAUACACAAUUUAUUUAGAGUAGGUAUUUAUUUUUGCUGGCUUCGACAACCAACAAAUUUUGGCGCCGUUGCCGGGGAUUGGUGUCGUUUAUUUAAUCCUUUUUACGUUUUACUUGGUGUAUGGUUUUUUCUUCUCGUACAAGUACACUUUCAUUUGAUCUUGAAAUUAAAAAGACGGCUCGCCAGUUGAGACAGCAGACAAAGCGAGCUAAGCAACGAUCCUUGUCGCCUUUACUUUCUGAAUUAGAUACGGUGCCUGAUUUAGUUGAAUCAUCUAGUGAUUUAGAAGAACAAGUGAUGGAUAGAGCUGCACCUGUAGAAAGAACUCUUAGAGAGUUAGCUGAACUAGACUUGAAUCAGCAACCACUCUGCAUUCAAUAUGUAGGCUUGGAGGUAAAUUUUGAAUUAAAGUCUGGUCUAUUUAUUUGUUACUCAAGUUUCAUGGUUUUGCAGGUGAAGAUCCUUAUAAACAUCUCAAGGAGUUUCAUGUUGUGUGUUCAAGUAUGAGGUCACAAGGCGUGACAGAAGAACAGAUUAAGUUGCGUGCUUUUCCUUUCUCUUUAGAUGGACUAGCUAAAGACUAGUUGUACUACUUGCCUCCUGGAUCGAUUACAACGUGGAAUGGUUUGAAGAAGCAGUUCCUUGAGAAAUACUUUCCUGCUUCAAGAGCUGCCAACAUCAGAAAAGACAUUUGUGGGAUCAGACAACUUCUUGGGGAGACUUUAUAUGAGUAUUGGAAGCGAUUCAAACAAUUCUGUGCAAGCUGUCCUCAGCAUUAGAUUUCUAAUCAACUUCUUAUUCAAUAUUUUUAUGAAGGACUAUCAUUAAUGGAUAGGAGUAUGAUAGAUGUUGUUAGUGGAGGCGUGUUGGUGAACAAGACUCCUACUCAAGCAAGGGAGUUGAUAUCAAAUAUGGCUGCCAAUGCACAACAAUUUGGCAGCAGGCAAUAUCCCACUUCAAGGAAGGUGAAUGAGGUAAAUAUUUCUUCUGUUGAACAACGUUUAGAUAAACUUACUUCUCUUGUGAAAAAGUUUGUUGUAGGUAAUGUCCAACAGGUGAAGACUUGUGGCAUUUGUUACAAUAUGGGUCAUUCAACUGAUAUGUGUCCUACACUUCAAGAAGAACUCGUUGAACAAGCCAAUGCAGUUGGAGGAUUUCCAGGCAUGCCUCAGAGGAGGUAUGAUCCUUAUGCACAAACAUACAAUCCGGGAUGGAAUGAUCACCCCAACUUCAGCUAUGGAGUUAGGCCAUCAGGAUUCCCACAACAGUAUCCACCAAGACAACCAGCACCUCCACAGUCAAACUCCAAGUCAGGUAUAUCUCUUGAAGAAAUUGUUAAAUCACUUGCGACUAACACUUAACAAUUUCAGCAAGCAACUACAGCAAGCAUUCAGAAUUUGGAGAACCAAAUGAGUCAAUUGGUGACUACAGUGAGCCGUCUGGAGUCUCAAGUAAUAGGGAGGUUGCCUUCACAAUCUGAGGUGAAUCCAAAGCAAAACGUUAGUGCUAUCAUCCUUAAAAGUGGGAAGGAGUUGCAAGAGCCUAGUAAGAAAGUGACAAAGCAUGUAGAAGAUGAGCUUGAGAAGAAUGAAUUGAUGCCUAAAUCUCAAGAUGCAAAACCCACCAGAGCGAAACCCCUACCUAUUGUGAUACCUCCUCCUUUUCCAAGCCGGUUUGCAAAAUCCAAAAAGGAGGAACAAGAGAAAGACAUCCUUGAGACAUUUCACAAGGUUGAGUUAAAUAUUUCUUUAUUAAAUACUAUAAAACAAAUACCUCGAUAUGCUAAAGUCCUUAAGGAACUGUGCACCUCCAAGAGAAAAUUAAGAGGAGAUGAAAAGUUCACAUGGGGGAGAAUGUUUCAGCAGUUCUCCAAAAGAAACUACCUCCUAAGUGCAAGGAUCUAGGUAUGUUUACUAUCCCUUGUAAAAUUGGUAGUGUUAGAGUUGAAAAGGCUAUGUUAGAUCUAGGAGCUUCUAUUAAUGUCAUGUCUCGUUCCAUUUAUUCAUCUUUGAACGUUGGUCCAUUAAAAGAAACUGGUGUGAUAAUUCAACUAACUGAUAGGUCUAAUGCAUAUCCUAAUGGGGUACUAGAAGAUGUCUUAGUACAAGUUAAUGAGUUGAUUUUUUUCCUGCUGAUUUUUAUGUACUUGAUAUGGAAGAGGAUAACUCCUCUAAUUCUGUCCCAAUUUUGCUAGGAAGAUCUUUUCUUAAGACUGCUAGGACUAAAAUGGAUGUACAUAAAGGGACUCUUACUAUGGAGUUUGAUGGAGAGGUUAUAGAAUUCAAUAUGAAUGAUGCCAUGAAAUAUCCUAGUGAGGAACAUUCGGUAUUUUUUAUGGAUGUUAUUAACCCUAUAGUGCAAGAAGUUUUUUACAAGGAAAAAACGAAGACAUUUCAUGAUAGAAUGAUUUUGAGAAAGGAGUUCUCUGUUGAUCAAAAAGUUCUUCUUUUUCAUUCAAAGCUUAAACUUUUUUCGGGUAAAUUACGUUCUUGCCGGGUUGGACCUUUUAUUGUUACUAAUGUUUUUUCUCAUGAUGCAAUUGAAAUUCGGAGUCCGACCUCUGACAAAGUUUUUAAGGUUAAUGGUCAUCGCUUAAAACCUUUUUAUGAAGGUUUUUCGAUGAAUAUUGUGGAGGAUGUGGCUCUCAAGAGUCCCAAUUAUGGAGAUUGAUGCAUAAAUGUGUCCAGCCAAAUACAUAAAACAAAGGCGCUUUUUGGGAGGCAACCCAAAUGAUUUAUUUAUUUUGAUUUUUGUUAUAUCUUCUUUUAAUUUUGAUUCGGAUUUUUUAAAAAAAUAAUGUGUUUGCUUAUUUUGGCCAGAAGAAAAUUUUUGAUAAGGCGUGCCCACGUCUUAACUAAUAAGUACUUCUGUGAUUUUUAAAGUAAAAUGGUUUUAAGGUGUGCCCACGUGCUUAUUUAAAAAGUACUUCUGAAAUUUUUAGUGUCUCAAGUGAUUCAUCAUUAAAAAAAAAUUAAUUUGAUUUAUUUAUUUGAAAAAAAAAUAAAAACGAGAAAAAAAAGAGGUUUUUUUUUCUUUUCUUUCUUUUAUAUAUUAUUUAUUUAAAAAAAUGAAAAAAAAAUCAAAAAUCACUGUUCACAAAAUCCCUAAUUCAAAAAAAUCAUUUUCUUUCCCGCAGCAACCAGCCGCUCCAGCCUUCACCGAGCAUCCCCAGCAGCAGCAGCAACCGUGCGCGCAACCAGCCCCAUCCCGCUCCACACAGCAGCCAUGCACGCUCUGCCCCAGCCUGAGCACGCAACGCAACAAGCGUCACUAGCGCGCAGCACCAGCAAUCCCCCAGCGCGCAGCAUCAGCCCCAGUGUGCAGAUCCAUCGCGCACCAGUUCGCAGCACCAGCAUCCUGCGCACGCGCAGAUCCAGCGUCACCAGCGCGCAACAUCAAUCCCAGCCCGCGCGCGCAACACAACCAGCACCAACCCAUGCAGUACAACCAUCCGCGUGCAACUGAACCAGCAGCCGUGUACCCGCAACCUCCAGCCGAGCAACAAUAGUCCGCAACCAGCCUACGACCUGCAUUCCAGCCGCGUGAAUCGAAAUCUGUGAGUGAAAUUAUUGUAACAAUGCCGAAAAGGAAAGCAUCAACUUCCAAGUCAUCUAAAAAGACAUCCAUCGCAAAGCAAUCUAAGAUUGCCGCUCCUACUACGGUUCCAUGGAACACAAUUUCAGAUUCACGCCAAGCCGUGGGACAAAGAUCGAAACAUGGAAAAGGCAUGAGUGUUUUGCCACUUGGGGAAUCCAAUCUCAGAGGGUGCCUCACAUUCACGACUCAACAAGAGAAAGAAAGGUACAAAGAUAUUUCCAAGCGAAAAUACUUCCAACUAAGUAUAUUCAUUACCCGACUCUUGAAAAAUUGAAUAUUAAGGAUAAUUUUGAUUCUUUGAUAGAUAAGACUGGUUUGCAUAAGUUUGUUGAUGUUGAUUGUUUGGGUUAUGUUGAGUUGAUUAGGGAGUUCUAUGCUACUUUUCAAUUUAAUAUACCGAAUGAUUUUACUUUACAUACCCCGAAUGUUAUAAAGUUUAGGUUAAUGGGAUGAAAUUUUUCACUCUAUCACGGAUUUUAACCUAGCUUUAGGAUUCAUUGAUGAUGAUUAUUCUUCUAGUGAUGCAUAUUUAGGAACAACUUGUGACUUUAGCGAAAAUUUUAAGCCUUAUGGUCUUUGGCGUAAUUUAUCUGUUGAUCACAAUGCCUAUGACCCGAGUAAAUCAAAGAGUUCUUUCUUAUAUGAUCCUGUUUUGAAAUGUGUGCAUCGAUUCUUAGCAUAUAAUUUUUUAGGAAAGAAAGAUCACUCAGGAGUUUCUCUAAAUCUGAAUUUUAUUUUAUCUGGUGCAUGUUAAAUGAUGUGAGGCCUAAUUUAGGUUUUUGGUUAGUAGAUCAAUUUCAAAGUGUGCUUAAACGGUAUAGGACUUUAUUUCUUGGUCCAUACAUUACUCUGUUAGCUACAAACCUAUGUGUGCUUGAUCCUGACAAUAAUGAUUUGCAUCCUGCUUGCAAAAAGGAAUUUUUGGAUAUGUCUGUGUUUGAAAGAACAGGUGCGGUCGAAUUCAAGGAGGAGAGAUUUUAGUUUACUGAAUCAGGACCCACUCAACCUCCAAAGAAGCUUUAUGCUAGGAGUGGUGCUACCUCUGAUGACGAGUUUGACGACGACACUGCUGCUCCGCCGACUAUUCCUUCUACAUCCGCACCACCUUUGAGCAUUCAAUUAGAGAAAAUGGAGCACAAGCUGAACAAGAUGGAGCAGAAUUUGGCCGCAUACUUCGAGAGUGGGAUUUAUCCCACCAUUUCUGCCAAGCCCAUAGACGUUAUAAGGAUCAAAGCUCACAAUUCAGGGAAGUUUUUACCUUUAAUCAUUUAUCCUUACGCUUUAAUUUUUAUGUGAGCUUUGAUUAUCUUACAUUGGGGACAAUGUAAGUUCUUGGUGUGGGGGAGGGAUUUUUGCAUUAUUGAUGUCUGGAAGUAUUAUUUUCACUCUACUCAUUCUUAAACGAUUUUGGAGUUAGUAUGCUUCAUAUAUUAUUAUUUUUCUUUUCUUUUCUUUCUCACUAUUUUUUUCCCAUCUAUCUCAAAUUAUUCAUAUCUAUUUUUAUUUUACCAUAUUCUUUCAUCACUCACAUUUCAUUUUUUUUAUUUCUACAUACAUCUUUCUCGCUUAUUAUCCUUUUUACCUUUCCUUUUAUAUAUCACUCAUACCUUCUUUUCAUUCUACACCACUAUUGAUGGUUGAUUCAUUUGAAGAGUGUACAUGAUUUGAUGGCAAAUUUACCAACUUUGUGAGGAUUUGAGCUUAUGAGCAACCACUUUGCUCUAAUUAUUUUUGUUAUGUGAAUAUCAAUCUUAGUUUGUUUAUUCUAGAACUUGCUUUGUUAUGCAUGUUGAAGCCACAUUACGGGAUUUUAUGCAUUAAAAUGAUAAGGGCAAACUACUUUCCAUUUUUCUAUUCUCACAUUUUUCUUCUUUUUCUCCACCCGAAAACCUUUAUUUGUUAUCUUUGUUUGAGCCUUAACCAUUACCCAUCUAAUUAUCUCCGUCUACUUAACCAUUUUUCUUCUUUUUGAGCCUCAAUUUAAGGAGAUUUUUGGACUCAUUGGGUGGAUAUAUUUUGUUGCUUUUUCUACCUUGUAUUAAAGUUUCUCAAUUAGAUCAACAAGCAUUAUGCAUGAAUUAAAUUGUGCAAGGUUCGUUUCUUUUGUUUGAUUCAUCACUACUGAAAAAAACAAAAAAAAAUUAAAAAAAAAACCAAAAAAAAGAAAAAGAAAGAAAAGGAAAAAGAAAAAAAAUGUUUAAAUUCUUGGUGACUUGAGUAGACAUAAGCAUUUCGGUAUCAUAAGGUUCAUUCAAUAGUUCAUUCUUCUAAUUUUGAUCUCUUUUUCUUUUAUAGACCUUUCUUUUUCAUUUAACCCAUUUAACCCUGUUACAACCUUUUUAAGACCCUUAGAUUUUUGCAUUUAAUUCAUGUUUUGUGGAUUGAGAUGUGAUAUAAGCAAGCUUAUGGUAAUAGCAUUCUUUGAUUUGAUUUGAGUGCAUAAAUGAUACCCUAAACACUUUGAGUGCAUGGAGUGAAGUCAAUGAGAGUGCUAUUAAAUCUUGUUGCACUUGAAUUUUGAAUGGAUCUUCUUGGUGGUUGAAUGUUUUUCUUUUAUAUUAGCUUAUGAGAUCCUAUGCUUUAAAAUUCUUAUCUUUUGAAUGUUGAUCGACUUAAAUUCUUGAGGUAUGCUUGCUUAAGAUUGUUUUCGGAUGAGUUGAGAUGAGAAUUGAGUGGAGAUUUGGGAUUAGUCUUGAGUUAUAUGCUUGAGGACAAGCAUCAUCUUGGUGUGGGGGAAUUUGUUAGAGUACAAUUUAUGCACUAGUUUUGCAUUGUUUACUUCCUUUAAUAUCGAUGUUUUGCACUUAAUAAUAGUGAUUUACUUGUUUUUUAUUUUUGUAGGUGCAAUUCUAUUGAUUGGUGCUAAAAUUGAGCUACAAGAUAAUGUUUGAGGAUGAUUGUUUUCCUAGAGAAAUUAUGAGCUUCAGAAGAACUUUAUUGAUAAGGCGUGGGCGUAUGCUGUCAACUACGGACCUGCAGUUUUUAGUUUAAUGUGUUUUGUCUUUUUGGUUAUUUUUGUAAUUACUAAUUUAAUAUUUAGCUAAUAUUUUAGAUAUUAGUAUUUUAUUUUAAAAAGAACUCUAGAGGAGGAGAGAGGGAAGAGAAUUUAAAAGAGGAAUCUAUUGUCAAAGAAGGGAAGAAAAAGAAACCCUAGAUCUAAAUUUUUCUCUUCUCUAUGAAGAACUAAAUCUAUUAUUCUGGUUGAAGGUUAAUGAAGAUUUGAUUCAUCACUACUGUGAGAUCGUUCUUAUGCUUUAAUUGUUUUAUUACUUUUUGGGUAUUUGUUUAUUCUCUGAAUUAUUGUCAUGAUUAUGUUUGUUAAUUAGAUAUUUGGUCACUAUUUAAUUAUUAACUUAAUGUAUUGUCAAUUAAAAGAUUCAUUGUAUAAAGAUUUUAAUGUUUGUGAUAAAUAGCAUAGCAGUGCAUUGUGUAAUGAGAAUAAACAAUCUAAUUUAAAUAAACCAUCGUAUGCGUUUGGUGAUUAGGAUUUGGGUCUCUCUGGUUUUUCAGGCUGUUAAUUGAUUAAAUCCUAUGAUCGUAUCUAGGGUUGUCUAUUGAUUAGGAAAAUAACCAACGGUCGUACCUUGGUUAUCGACUAGUUAAGGCGAGAUUGGCUAUUAGAGAGUCUCAGUAGCUAUAACCGGUCUAUUCAUAAGUAGUAAUGAUUUAUAUUUGAAUCAAUGAUCAAUAGUCGAAUCAAGCUGAGUUAAUUCCUUCAACCAGAGCUUUCCCCAAUUUAAAUUACAAUUUUAAUUUGCAUUCUUGUUAUUUUAAUUUGAUUUUUAUUAUUGUCAACAAUUCCCCCAUUUUGCAUUUUACAUUUUAAAAGGAUUUAAAUAAUUACCGAUCUCUGUUGACACGACCCUGCUCAAUCACUAUACACAAUUUAUUUAGAGUAUGGCAUUAUGAGCAUACAUUCUCUACCCUACAAGGUGAAUUCCUAUGUCUAAUUCUUCACACAUUUUAACUCAAAGAUAGCCCUUUUGGGACUCAAGUAAUCUUAAUCCAGGAAACUUAAGUUAUGAUCAAGUAUUACUCUAUUAAUUUCCACUAAGACAGGUCCUUUUGCAGCUCUUUCUUAACUUGAACCAUUAAAUGGGUGGUCAACCAAAAUAAUGAUUAUAAUAAUAGUUAUUAGAGUAAAAUGCUAUAGCAAUCUUGUAGCAACUCAUAAGAACAGUCAAAAACCCAUUUAGAUUGUUUGUCACUCAACUACAAACAGAUUUAGUUCAUACUUCGAAAAAGAAAAGUAAACAGCAAAGUAUUGGCCAUGAAAUACAUCGUUUCAAUCAAAGAGUAAGAAAAGGAACAAGUAAAAAACAAUGAAAAUUGAAUCCAAAUUGUUCUGCUGAUUUCUUCACUGAUGCAGACUUGAGUUUCCCUUGAAUUCUGAUUUUUCCUUCUUUUCCUCUUGAUUUUCUUGAUGUCAAUUCACCGCCACCCUUUUUAUGUGAUGUGCGCUCUAUUUAUAACUGAAAACUAAGGUAAACCAAAGCCUAGGGCACGCGUGAUUCAAAUUAGAAAACUGCAGAUUGCAAUUUUGCAGAUAUCUCGCACUAAGUUUUCUCUAUAGUUGUUCCACGAUUACUACAGCAAUGGUUGCCCCAACAACGGCUAUAGCACUGCACUGCUCCAGAUCUUGUUUCAAUUAUUUUGUGGCCAUAUUCUUCCUCAUUUUGCCAUCCUAUUGCAUCAGCAUCUCUUCCAUAAAUUAUAAGCUUCUGGAAACCUACAAUUAUGCACAUAAUUUGAGCACGAAUUACCUUAAAUCACGUAAAACUUAUUAAGACUAAACUAAAAUGAAUGUUUAUUCAAAAUAUAACAAAAAUGUAAUAAAAACACAUCAUUUACUCUCUAAGUGAUCUUGAUUUGAGUCUAGAAUGGCCAUAAUAACUCUCAUUUCAUAGAGUUAUCACCCAACUUCACAAAUGCAGGUGCAAACUUCUUAAUAGCACGUGAGAAAUUGACUCCAAAUUGUCUUGAAAAGAGAAUAACUACGGUUAAAAAGCAUCAAGUAUCGCAUUAUAGAAUGCGAUAAUUCCUAUGACCACACCGUCCACCGAUGGCAUUGCUUCUCCACUGCCAGAACCUUCUCUAAUCGCUGGCGACAUCCCCACUGAUCAACAACCCUCACAACAACUAUUAACAUUUCAAACCAUAAACCCUAGAUUACAACAAAUCUUUCAAAAUAUGCUCUACGUUGUCGCCACCUUGCCUACCUCCGUUGGUGGCGAUUACUUACUGACGAAACCACCGUUGAACCUUAUGUACUCCUAACAGCUGCCUUUCACCCUCCCUGUACCACCAACCCCCUCAGGCACCAGUACACACGAGCACAAUCAAAACUCAAGCACCACUUAUUGGCCACUAUUUCUGACUCCUUUUAGUAAGACAAAUCCCCUUAGCUGCAAUAUAUCUCACCAACACCUUGCUGUCUCUCUUUUGGCCACCGCUAGUGGCACCAUCAACCUGCCAGCCAUCUCAUAUCUGCCACUUUUGACCACCCAAACCCACUCUACUGUUUAAAACUGAGACCAGCUGCUAAAUGCAGAAAACCUUAGUUAUAAUAAAGAAACCCUAGCCAACAUCCAUCUUUCCAAACCUAAAACUAAACCAAACAUCAAGCCCAAACCCAUGACCCUUUUUCCACCCCUCACUCUUGGUCAUACAUCCAACCCACCCUAAAAGGCCUCUUAUACAUCUAUUACAAAUCCUGAAGUUAUCCUCAACCGUAAUGCUAAGUCUUUUGUUGAUGUUAUUGCUGGCCCCCUGGAAUCUUCAAUUUGGGAAAAGCCAGUUUUAAUAUUUCAUGGUAAAAUUGUUAUCCACUUUUCAGCUACAGAUAUCCAGCCCAUAGCAUAACCAUUCAAACUUUCCCUUGUUAGUAAGUUUUUGUUUAGCCGCCCUCCUGUAGAUGUGAUUCACAAAUUCUUUGUUUCUUGAGUUUUAAAGGUAGUACACAGGUUACUUUGCUAGAUAAUUGAUCAAGCUUUAACUUGGAGUGGAUUACUCAUGUAUUUGGGUUAGGCAGACUUGGUAUGUUAGCGGCAAGUUCACGCGUACUUUUAAGUAGUCUACAUUUAUGCUCUAAGGAGUCUCAGUUGUUCUUGUUUAGGAGUCUUUGCCUUAUUUACCUGUGCAUUUCAUUCAUUACAGAGAUGCUUUAUUUUCUAUUGUAAAUGCUAUUAAAAAGCCUUUACGGGUUGACCGUGCCACUGCUGCUGUUAAUAGGCCCUCGGUGGCUCAUGUACUCAUUGAGUAUGAUGUUUCACGGCUAUUGUUACCAAGACUUUGGAUUAGUAAGGGUGAUAAUGGGUUUUGGCAAGAUAUCAUCUAUGAGCGUGUUCUGUUAUAUUGUGCCACGUGUAAGCAUCUUGGUCACUUUGCUGAUGCUUAUUUUGUUUCUAAUCAUGGGCUUCAAAAGCCCCAAUCACCUAUUGGUUAGGUGAAGGAUAUAGUUGUUGAUGAUACAAGUACGAUACUUAUUACUGAUGGUUUUGUCUAGCCUACUAGGGAUUUUGCUACGUAUGUGGUUACUAAGGAUAAUCGACUACAGAGGCCUGCUCUCGUCCAAGGUCAGUCUUUGGGCCUGGCCCCCUCGAUGAUGUUGCUUGGCCGUCUGCUCUUUUUCCUCAAGAUACUGUAGACGCGACAUCUAAUUCGAUUUCUUCUCUGUGAGUUCCAGAUGAUGAUGGUUUGCAACAUAAUGUUGCUCUAAGAGAUGUUGAUGGAUGCACUAAGGUUGCUAAUUCUCUUGUUUUGGAUAAUCCGAGCGCUCUAAGGACUUCCACAAGCUUUACUUUUUUCAGGUCUAUAGUGGAUGAUAUUCACUCCAUGGUUGUGAGUUUUAAUUACCAUUCUACAGAUAUCCCUAAUCAGUCGGAUGAGGAGUUUAGCUCUGACAGAAAUCCUGCAGUUCAUGAUUAUUUUGCGUCUAAGCCUGAGGGUAUAGCGGGGCAUGAUCUUGACCCCGACCUCAGUAUUGGUGGCCUCCAUUCCUCUAGUUUUAAGAAAGGUUUCAAAUUAGUUAAUGGUCGUAAGUAUUGUAAGUAUUUUUCUCGGCGUUUGCAUUAAUUAAUUAUCUUUAGCUUCUUAUUUAUUCUAUUAUUGUUUUCAUUCUUUUUCCAUUAGUUGGUUAUUUUUGUUCAUUUGCUUGGAGAUUUUGGUCUACGUCCCCCUCCAUAUGUAAUUUUGUUUAUAUUUUAAUAAUCAUAGGUAAGGGGGUCCCGCCUAACCCCACCAACUUUGGUUGAUUUUUAAUUAAAAAAAGCACAAAAAUUGACAAUUAAAGAAUUGAUCUAAAAUGGUAAGACAUGGGAAGUUUCUAGAUAUUAAAAUAUGAAGAAUUUUCUCAUGAAGGGCCUUCCACAUCGUUCUUUUGUUGCCUCUUAACAUGUUGUGAACGGAGAGUGCUUCUGAGUGUCGCUCUCAUUUUACUAAGAUGAAAAAUUAUGGAGGAGCAGAGUUCCUGUAAAACAGCAUAGUUGUGAUAAGUGUUUCGCGUUGCAAUCCCGAAGUAAAAGUUCAUUUGUCUAUGACCACUUUUAUACCCCUCCGGCUGGUGGCUUUUACUACGCAUGUCCAUUGAUGUGAUAAUAAUUUAUAUAUUUCUUAAUUUAAUUUUAUGUUAAAUUAUAUUUUAUCAUAUUAAUUAUAUCUUAAUCUUUAUUUUUGUUAUUUUAGGUACAUUUUAGGAAUAAAGAAGAAUUAAAUCAGAAUAUUCAAAUAAGAAGAGCUUAAAGAAGAAAUUGAUUGGAAAUUUAAGGAAGAUAAUGGGAGUUAAAAUGGAAGAAAAUCGAAGCAACCAAGGCCUAAUUGUAGUUCACGUGAAGAUGAGAAGAAUUAGCAUUGGAAAUAAGUUAAUUAAUAAGGCAAAUCAUGUGAAGAAUAGAGUAAAAGAAGAAAGCAUUCUGGUGAUGGGCUUUGGCCAAAUCAUUAUUGGCUUAUUAAUUGAACAAGUCACGUGCAUGCAUGAAAGAAAAGAAGCGGUUUGGCUUUUGUUUUUAAUUCUUUCCAUAUAAAGAGUUAAAGGCCACAAUUGAAACAAUAUAAAAGGGCACGAGUGGAAGGCCACAAGAGAGGAGGGCAGCCGCACAAAUUGGAAGCCAAGAGAAAAAAAAAACCGAGAGCAAGAAAAAAGAGAGAGAGAGAGAGAGAGAGAGAGAAAAGCCGCCGCUGCAAAUUUUUGCAACAAUUUGGAGAAGUCGAUUGCCGAGAUUGAAGAGAGACAGCUUUUUGAGUUUACUCUUUCUCUUCUCUUUUUCUAUUAUCUUGUUUGAAUGUUCCUAAUUAAAUUUAUGAAUUCUCUUUAUAUUCCCAUGAACUAAUUUAUUUUGCUAGGGCUACGAUGUAGCCUAACUAUAAAGAUUUAUUUCCAUAAAUAUAUGUUAUUUUUAGUUUAUUAUUUCAUGGUUGAGUGUUCAUUAUUGUGCUUAAUACUUUUAAAUAUUUGGUCAAUAUUUAAAUGAUUUAAGGAUAUAUAAUGAGACCGAAAGGAGAUUUAUGUAUUUUUGCUCUAUGUAAUGGAUGCCAUGACAGAGAUGUGCCAACGUGAUUCAUGUAGUUUUUCUAAGAAUUUCCAUAGAACUUAAUGAAUCUUUGCAUAUUUAAAUUCACAGAGAGAUAUAGUGGGUUAAUAUGUGAAGGUAUUUUUGAUUUUACUCGGGAGAGGAUAUUGAAUAGAUUAGGGAAAUUCACUGUCAACAUUGGUAAUAAAUUUUAAUAACAUAAAUGGAGGAUUAAAAUUGGAUUGGUUAUGGUGAAAUCAGAUGUCCUAGAGUCAUAAUCUCUUCGUGAUUUCUAUUACUGCUUGCAUAUUUAUUUAGUUUUUAGUUAUUUUAUUCUAUUUUAAUUUUUUUUAUCUAAAUCCGUCUAUACGAUUGUUCAAAUAAAUUAGGAUUAGAAUAAUUUCGGUAGCUAAUAGGAUAUACAAUCUCUGUGGGACGAUAUUCUACUCUUCAUUUUAUUACUUGUGCCGACUAAUACACUUGCUAAUUUAUGCAUCAUCCACCAUAGUCCGAUAAGCAAGCAUAUAACACUUUUUAUUGGAGAAAUGUUUGAUUAGAAUAUGAUGGGUAUUGUUAUCCGGACUAAUUCGUCCAAUUUCCUCGUAACAUUCAUUACGCUCUCCAUAGCACCAGCUAUGCAGUAGGCAUAGAGCAUGCAAUUUAAAUCAUAUUUGUCAUACUUGACUUCAAAAUACCCAGCCAAUUUGCCUCUUCAAAACACCCACCCUGGCAGAAUGCUGAAAUCAUGAUACUGUGGGCAUAGUCAUUUGCGUGAGGCAAAUAAAAUUUGUGGUUAACCUAAAAGCUUAGAUAUAGUACUAUCUUUUGUUUGGUUAAUAUCUGACUGAACUAUGUUAAUUUAAUUUAAUAAAUUAUUAAAUAAAAUUCUGAUAUUCAAUAUAAAAUUACUUGGUUAAAAAUUCGUGAAAUUCACUUCUAUGUUUAAUUUAUAUUAAAAUAUUAGGUUAAAUGAAAAAGAAAAAAGUGAUAAAGAGGACACAAAGCUUUUGUUUAAUCUUAUCUCACCUAAACCCCUAUAAAAAUAAGGAUUAAUAAUCCUAUUAGUUUUAGACUAAAUUUAAGUUUACUCUAAUGGUCCAUGACAACCAAACAUACCUUAGAUUAAAUUAUUUUGUUAGUUUCAAAAUCUAAUUGAAUCCCACAAUUUAUCGAAGCUCCCAAAAACAGCCUAAUAUAUAGUUAAAAAAUAUUGUAUUCAUAAAAAUGCGGUACAAGUAAGAAUACCAACGUUAGUGCACCAAUAUACAUAUGAGAUAGGAUCAACUAUCUCUCUCUUUUGAAACAAUAACUUACACAAAAUCUUAACCUUUUAACAUUACCUAAUGAUCUCUUUAAUACUAUUUUGAUUUUAAAAAAUGGUGUCUUUAAUACUACUUUGAUAACAAAUGGGUUACAAAAUUUUGAAAGAAGGCAAUAUUUAUUAAUAUCAAAAAUAAAACUUAAUGGGCCCUAAUAUAUUAUUAAAUAUUUUUCUUCUACUUCAUCUUAUUUUCUCUCCAUAAUUAAUAUGAUUUGAUUCUCUCAAUCUUUCACUUGCUUUAAACAACUCUCCUCUAAGUAAUCACCAUACAGAUUUUCCAUUAAAAUACAAUCGUCAAUGGCAGAUAGAUAAAAGAAGAAACCAAAAAGUCCAGUUAUACUUCAAAUUAUGCUAUAUUAUUAUGCUAUUUUAUUAAUUAUUGGGAACGUGUGCAGCAACUAAUGUGUGCAUGGAGCAACUAACGUGUGCAUGUGCAGUAACUAUUGUAAUAUUCUAUAGCUUUUGUAUUCCAUUAGGAAUAGAAGGAGCAGCUUUUGUAUUCCAUUAGGAAUAGAAGGAGCAUAUUUAGGAGACUAUUUAGAGAUUUCGUAGCUAUCUUUGAUUUUGGUAUAGGUGUAUAUAUGAAUAGCCGUGUGAUAUACAAUAAACAUACAAAUUUCUUCCCCUCUCACAAACGUUUUCAUGGUAUCAGAGCCUUGAGCCGAACCUUCUAAUAAAUCAAAAUUUUUCCAUAACCGACGCCGAAGCUAAGCACCAUGGCUGGAAGGGAAAAGGAAAACCCAAAUAUGAUAGAUUCGUCUUCAUCUUAUUAUCUUCAUCCCUCUGAUCAUACGGGCAUGAUUAUAUCCCCGGUGAAAUUAAAUGGUGAGAAUUAUGAAGAGUGGUCAUGCUCGAUGCGUAAUGCAUUUUGGGCAAGAAGAAAACAAUCGUUUUUUAAUGGCAAGAUUGAGAAACCUGCCGAAGAUGCUCCUAAAAUUGAAGAUUGGUGGAGUGUGAAUUCAAUGCUUGUAGGAUGGAUAUUUACAUCUUUUGAACCGCAUAUUCAUUCAACAAUCACCUACUAUGAUACUGUUAAGGAACUCUGGGAUGAAUUAAAAUUGAGAUUCUCAAUUGGGAAUGGACUACGGGUGCUGCAGUUGCGAUCCGAUCUGGUCAAAUGUAGACAAGAUGGGCAGACAGUAGGAGCCUAUUUUGGACGUCUCAAGAUUCUGUGGGAUGAACUCAGCAACUAUGUUCAACCUCCUGUCUGUUCUUGCGGCAACUGCGCCUGUAAUCUGUCAACGCAGUGGGAAAAAAAAAGGGAAGAAGAAUGUGUUCACCAAUUCUUGAUAGGACUUGAUGAUACGAUUUAUGGGACAGUUCAUUCUAAUAUUAUUGCUCAAGAUCCUCUUCCCUCACAAAGUCGUGCUUAUGCCUUGGUGGUACAAGAGGAAAGACAUCAAACCAUUACAAGGAUAUGUGAUGUGCGUGUCGAAGCCGUGAGCUUUGGUGUCCAAGCACCCAAGGCACAACAAGGUGUUGCUGCGUCUUUUUUGAAUAAUGCAAAUGGAGAAAAAUCAGUGUGUAAACAUUGUGGCAAAACCAGUCAUGAGAUAUCAUCUUUCUUCAAGAUUAUUGGAUAUCCGGAGUGGUGGACUGCUAAUCGUGGAAAGGGUAACUCAGGCAGACGAGGGCAGACAAAUAAUUUUGUUGGGCAUAGUAAAUCGCAUGCUGCUGUGACUAACGCUGCUCUUAUGCCUGCUGGUGGAGGAGGAAACUAGGCUAGUCCGACUCUGUCAGCAUAAGAUCAGGCUGCCCUUGCAACUACUCUCACGGAUGAUCAAUGGGAAAUUAUGGUGAAUAUGCUUAAUUCACAAAAUAAGGAUGUUUCAAAAGAGAAGCUUUCUGGUAAGUGGAUUCUAGAUACAGGGGCUUCGAGACAUAUGACAGGAAGCAGAGAAUUAAUGACUGAUCUGCAAAAUAUUGGGCUUUCGCCCAUAGGUCUUCCAAAUGGCACAUGCUCUCAUGCUCAGUGCGAGGGCACUGUUGAGUUUGGAAACAAUUAAAGAAUGAAUCAUGUUCUAUAUGUACCUGAUUAUUGGUUAUUUCAUUUUUUUCGGUGGUUCUCCCAUUUCCUGGAAGACAAAGAAACAACAUACUGUCUCUCGUUCUUCGACUGAAGCAGAGUAUCGGUCUAUGGCUUUCACUUGUUGUGAAUUAACUUGGUUGACGGCUUUGUUAAAGUCUCUUGGUGUUUCGCAUUCUCUACCAAUGCGUCUUUACUGUGAUAGUCAGGCAGCGCUUUGUUAACAUAUAUGUUUCCAUAAUAUUGAUUUUGAUAAUAACAAAUAAGUUUAAGAAUGAUUAAUCUUUUAAGCUCAAAUUAUUUAAUAUUCUUUUUAAAUAAAUCAUUAUUUUAACAUUAUAAAUGUUUUAUAUUUAAUGGAAAAAUAAUUUUAUGAAAUUGAUUGUUUUUAUUCUUUUUAAAUAAAUCAUUAUUUUCACAUUAUAAAUGUUUCAUAUUUAAUGGAAAAAUGAUUUUAUGAAAUUGGUUGUUUUUUAAAAUUUAUGGUUUAAUUGAAAGAAUUUUGAAAACUUUGAAAUAAACAAGUAUUGCUUGAAAUUUUGGAGAAGGACUUAUUUGAAAAGUGUCAUAGCAUUUUGGGCUAUACCAUAAUUUUAGAAAGUUUUGGGAUUAACAAAGCAUUACUUAGAAAUUCUGAAAUUGGACCUAUGUGCAAUGUUUCAUAACGUUUUGGGUCAUACUAUAGUUUUAUAAAGUUUUGGCGUCAAACUAUAAUUUCAGAAAAUAUUUUCACUGUAGCAAUUUCACUGUAGCAAACGGCUAACCGUUUAUUUAAAAUGGCUAACCGAUAAUUUCCAGAAAGCAUGUUCUGCAAAGUAUUGUUAAAAUGAUGAUUCUGGAAAAUAACGGUGAACCAUUUACUGAAAACGGUUAACCGAUUAUUUCCAGAUUGCUAACCUUGAACCGUUUAGUAAGAACGGUUAAAUCAAAUUUGUUUUGUAGGUCUCUGGAAAUUAACGGCGAAAGGGUAAGCCCAAACGGCUAACCGUUUAUUUAAAAAUUGGCCCAACGGUAACUUUGACCGGCCUAAACGGUUAACCGUUAAUGGUUAACAGCGAACCGUUUUCGAGUAGACAGUCUAUAACGGCUAGUUUUUUAGCUCCAACUAUAAAUAUGCUCAAUCCAAUUCAAAUAAGAAGAAUUCCAACGAUCAUCAUUGAGCAAAAUAUAGAGAAUACAACUUUCAUUGAGCUUUAAAUCUUUGUAUUCAUCUCAUUCAUUCACACAUUGAGCUUUCACUUGAGAUCAAACACAUUGUGUGAGAGGGAUUCAUUUGUAAUCUUUUUUGUAAAAUCAAGUUAAAAGAUUGUAAGUGUUGGGAUACACUUGGGUUAAGAGAUUGGGGAUAAUCUCUUGUUGUAAAGGUCCAUUGACACCUUGGAAGUCAAUUGUAAGUGUUUGAAGCCUUGAGAGGCUAACUUAGUGAAAUCCUCAAGCCCGGUGAGCUUGGAGGCGUGGACGUAGGCGGGGAUUGCCGAACCACGUAAAAAUCAUUGUGUUCGUUUUCUCUUCUCUUACUCUUUUAAUAUUGUGCAUGAUUGAAUUUAUUGUUUUCAAUUUGAUUAAGGCAAUAGAUUAAAUUGUUGUGUGGUUUGCCUAGGAUAAUUUUUAAAAUCCCAAUUCACCCCCCCCCCCCCUCUUGGGUUGCCUAGUUAGUAUUUCAUUUGGUAUCAGAGCGAGGUGCUCUUUUGUAGACUUAACCGUCUAGAGUUAAAGAUCUAUAGCAACCCAAAUUAGCUCAAUCUUCAUGGAAGGCCAAUCCACCACUAGACCUCCAUUCUUUGAUGGUAAUGACUAUCCUUAUUGGAAAACUAGGAUGAGAGUGUUUUUACAAGCCUUAGAUUAUGAAAUAUGGGAAAUAGUUUGUGAUGAUUCAUUCAUUCAUAGGAAGAAUGUUUUAAGUGAAUUGGAUAAGAAAAAUAUGUCUUUAAAUUCCAAGGCUAUGAAUGCUUUAUUUUGUGCCUUAGAUAAAAAGGAAUUUCAUAGAGUUUCAAAUUGUUCUAAUGCUUAUGAAAUUUGGAGAAAACUUGAAAUUGUGUAUGAGGAGACUACAAACGAGGAGGAAUUUCAUGAAGUGUCGAAUUUGGCACUUAUGACAAUUGUAGAUGAAUCGGAUGAUGAACUUGAUGAGGUAAAUCAUCUUCCUACUUAUGAUGAAUUACAUGAUGCGUUUAAAGAAUUGUAUAAUGAGUGGAUGAAAAUUGGUAAAAAAAAUGCAUGUUUUAAAAAGAAAAUGGUAAAGCUCACAAAUGAAAAUGAAUCUCUAAGUGCAAAGAUUACAUGUCUAGAAUUAGAGAAUAAAACAUUGCAUGAUGAAGUUACAUUAUCAAAUGACAAAUUUAGCACUUCACAAAAGCAUCUAGAAUCACAUGUAGAUAACUUGAAAAAUGAAAAUGAUGCUUUACAAAAAUGCAAUGAUUCAUUAAAUGAAAAGAUUAAAGGACUAGAGUUAGAUAAUAAAAUGUUGCAUGAUAGAAUUGCAUCAUUCACAUGUAAACAAAGUACUUUGUAUGAGCAUGAGAAAUCACAUGUUGAUGAAUUAAUAAAUGAAAAUGAAACACUUAAGAAAAGGAGUAAUGAGUUGAAUGAGAUUGUUUUGAAACUCACAAAUGGGCAAAAGAUGUUGGAUAACAUGCUUAAUUCACAAAAAUGUGUGUUUGAUAAAGGAGGACUUGGGUAUAAGCCUUACUUGAAACAAAAAUAUUAUAAGAAUUAUUUUGUUAAGGCUACCUCCACAAAUGAUCAAAUUGUAUGUCAUUAUUGCAAUCAAAAUGGUCAUAUGAAGAAUAGAUGUCCAAUUAAAAGAAAUGUGUAUUAUGGAGUCAAAUGUAUUUGGGUUCCAAAAGGAACUAAAUCUAACAUUCAAGGACCCAAGAGUAUUUGGGUACCAAAGGGUACAACUUGAAUUUGUUUUUGUAGGUACCAUAAACAAGGAAUGGUGGAGAGUUCCUUGAUGAAGCUUGUGGAGAUAAUCACUUGAUCAUAAUCUAAAGCAAAAAUAAUGAGGCAAGAUGAUUUAAUUGUUUUGGUAACUAUUAUUGCCUUAUUGAUUAUAAGUGAUGGUAUUUUAAUCUUAGCAAAUAUUUAACACUUCAUUUGGUAUCAUAACAUUAAGUGUAUUAACAUGAUGUGGAUAAGUUUAUCUUGGCUAUUUACUAUAUUGAGUGAAUCAUGAUAAAUGAAUUUGCGAAAGUAUGCUUGUAUGUUUACAUGAUGGAAUUAUCAUUGUGUUUAACAUUGAGUGCUUUAUCAUGAUGCAUGGUUAUAUAUAUAAGAUGAUAGCUUGUCAACUCAUCAUGAUAGCUUUGUUUGAUUUUGAUGAUUAUAUAAUGCCUAAGCUUGAUAAAUGAGUGAUAUGCUUGAAUUAUUAAUCUUUGAAUGCUUAUAUGUUUCAUGAUUGUGUAAAAUAUACACAUGAUGAAUGAAUUAUAUGUGUGAAUUCUUGUGCUAUUAAUUGUGUUAUAUCAUCAUUCAUUUAUAAAAUUGACAUUAUUGGUUGAUACGAUUUCAUAUGUUUGGUCUUGUAUGCAUAUAUGUUCCAUGCACUAAUUGACUUAUUGAAAAGUUAAAUGAAUUUUAAAAUUGAUCAAUUUCUAAGCCAAAAAUAAAUUUGUGUCUAAGAGCUUACAAAAUUUCAAAAAUAUUUUCCAAAGCUUAACCGGUAUACCACUUCCAUAGUGUGCUCUCCUUAUGGAUUUUACCAUAGUUUUCUAUUAUAUUAUGCACUUACAUGUUCAUAUGCUUUGUUGCUUUCAUUGUGGAUUGAUGAUGAUUAUUGUUUGCUAUUUGGAUGUUUUAUAUUUGGAUAAUGUGGAACUAAUGUGUUUAUCUUGACUUUUUGAUGAUCAAGAGGGAGAUAUGAGAUGUAAAGGAGAAAUACAUCUACUUUGAGAUUCUUAAGUAUAUGUUGAUUUUGAUGAUCUAUAUAUUGCUAUUAUGUACUUAUGCUUUACUUAAGUUUUGAUGACAAAGAAUGUGCUUUGAUGAUUCCAUUGUAUUUGAUGAAUUUUGAUUUUAUGGAAUUUAUGAUUGGUGAAUGGAUACAUUUUUUUUUGCUUUCUUGACGCAUUGUUAAAUAUGCAUUACUUGUUUUAAAUGAUAUCAAAAGGGGGAGAAAUACAUGAUCAUUGAGAUCUUGGCGCAUAUGAGAGUGUAAGUUAUAUUAAAAUGUCGCUUUAGGUCUUUGAUGAGUUUAGUUGUCUUGAUUUCUAAAAUGUGAUUAGUAAUUAUAGAGCUUGAAUUGUUGACAUUAUGCUCUUAUGACUUUUGCAUUCCCUUUCUUAGCUUAUUACUUGUUCUAUUUUGGAUAAUAUGCUUUUUGAACAUUUUUAUUGUCCAAAGGGGGAGACAAAGUAAUAAAUCUUUUUAAUGAUGUAAAUUGGGGGAAAUAACAUGCAUUUUGAGCAUUCUUUUAAUGGUUGAUAUAUGAUUAUGGAAUCCUCGGAUAUAAUUGUUACAAGUGUUGGGGGAAUUCAUAAUGAUUGAUGAUUAUAUGUGCAUUGCUUGAUGAAUUGAUGAAGUUAUUGGUUUGUUAUAAUUGUUGAAGCUUAUAUCUUUUUAACCAUGUUGUUUAUUUGAGAAUUUGUUCUUUUUUAAGGGGAGACUUUAUCGAAAUUUUUGCUCAUACAAAAUGGGUAAUAUCUUCAUUGAAUUAUUUUUGAUGAUCUUGUUUCGAUUGCAUCUAUCUAUCUUUCCUUUUUACGAUGAAGGGGGAGAUAAAUAUGAUAUGUUUUUAGAUAAAAUCAUUUUGGUUAAAUUUCUUAAAUUGGCCAUAUAUUUAGGGGGAGCAUAUAAUAUGAUUUUGGAUAAUAUGCAUUUUGAACUUUUUUUGUCCAAAGGGGGAGACAAAGUAAUAUCUCAUUUCGAUAUUGUCAAAAGGAGGAGAAUAAUAUGCAUUUUGAGUAAUUAUUUUGAUGAUUAAUAUGUGAUUAUGGUGAUGAUUUUGAGAUAUCAUGAUGAUUUGAUUACAUGGUGUGUAUCAUAAUUUAAAAUAAUUUGGGAGUAAUAUUACUAAACUUGUAUUUGAGGUGAUGCUUGUUGAUAGGGGGAGAAUGUGUCAAAAUUUUUACUCGGCUACAUGGGUAACAAAUUUGCUACUCUUUUUCUUUUCCACUAAGUUUUCUUUUUGAUGAUGAGGGGGAGAAAAAUCCAUGUAUUUAAAUAUGUUAAUUUAGCUAAUUGGCAAAUUGUAAAAGAAGAUUAUAUUUAGGAGCAAUUUGUGGAAUCAUUCUUUAAAUACAUGAAAUGUUUGUCAUCAUCAAAAAGGGGGAGAUUGUUAACAUAUAUGUUUCCAUAAUAUUGAUUUUGAUGAUAACAAACAAGUUUAAGAAUGAUUAAUCUUUUAAGCUCAAAUUAUUUAAUAUUCUUUUUAAAUAAAUCAUUAUUUUAACAUUAUAAAUGUUUUAUAUUUAAUGGAAAAAUGAUUUUAUGAAAUUGAUUGUUUUUAUUCUUUUUAAAUAAAUCAUUAUUUUCACAUUAUAAAUGUUUCAUAUUUAAUGGAAAAAUGAUUUUAUGAAAUUGGUUGUUUUUCAAAAUUUAUGGUUUAAUUGAAAGAAUUUUGAAAACUUUGAAAUAAACAAGUAUUGAUUGAAAUUUUGGAGAAGGACUUAUUUGAAAAGUGUCAUAGCAUUUUGGGCUAUACCAUAAUUUCAGAAAGUUUUGGGAUUAACAAAGUAUUACUUAGAAAUUCUGAAAUUGGACCUAUGUGCAAUGUUUCAUAACGUUUUGGGUCAUACUAUAGUUUUGUAAAGUUUUGGCGUCAAACUAUAAUUUCAGAAAAUAUUUUCACUGUAGCAAUUUCACUGUAGCAAACGGCUAACCGAUAAUUUCCAGAAAGCAUGUUCUGCAAAGUAUUGUUAAAAUGAUAAUUCUGGAAAAUAACGGUGAACCGUUUACUGAAAACGGUUAACCGAUUAUUUCCAGAUUGCUAACCUUGAACCGUUUAGUAAGAACGGUUAAAUCAAAUUUGUUUUGUAGGUCUCUGGAAAUUAACGGCGAAAGGGUAAGUCUAAACGGCUAACCGUUUAUUUGAAAAGUGGCUCAACGGUAACUUUGACCGGCCUAAACGGUUAACCGUUAAUGGUUAACGGCGAACCGUUUUCGAGCAGACAGUCUAUAACGGCUAGUUUUUCAGCUCCAACUAUAAAUAUGCUCAAUCCAAUUCAAACAAGAAGAAUUCCAACGAUCAUCAUUGAGCAAAAUAUAGAAAAUACAACUUUCAUUGAGCUUUAAAUCUUUGUAUUCAUCUCAUUCAUUCACACAUUGAGCUUUCACUUGAGAUCAAACACAUUGUGUGAGAGGGAUUCAUUUGUAAUCUUUUUUGUAAAAUCAAGUUAAAAGAUUGUAAGUGUUGGGAUACACUUGGGUUAAGAGAUUGGGGAUAAUCUCUUGUUGUAAAGGUCCAUUGACACCUUGGAAGUCAAUUGUAAGCGUUUGAAGCCUUGAGAGGCUAACUUAGUGAAAUCCUCAAGCCCGGUGAGCUUGGAGGCGUGGACGUAGGCGGGGAUUGCCGAACCACGUAAAAAUCAUUGUGUUCGUUUUCUCUUCUCUUACUCUUUUAAUAUUGUGCAUGAUUGAAUUUAUUGUUUUCAAUUUGAUUAAGGCAAUAGAUUAAAUUGUUGUGUGGUUUGCCUAGGAUAAUUUUUAAAAUCCCAAUUCACCCCCCCCCCCCUCUUGGGUUGCCUAGUUAGUAUUUCAUGCUUCAUAUUGCUGCCAAUCCUGUAUUUCAUGAGCGCACUAAGCACAUUGAAAUUGAUUGCCACUAUGUGCUGGACCAAAUCCAUGCUAGUAAUAUUGCUACUUCUCAUGUUCGUACUUCAGAGCAACUUGCAGACAUUUUCACAAAGGCGCUUGGUCGACGCCAGUUUGAGAAUAUCCUUCGCAAGUUGGGCAUUCGUGAUCUUCAUGCUCCAACUUGAGGGGGAGUAUUGGGAACGUGUGGAGCAACUAACGUGUGCAUGUGCAGUAACUAUUGUAAUAUUCUCUUUGUAUAGCUUUUGUAUUUCAUUAGGAAUAGAAGGAGCAGCUUUUGUAUUCCAUUAGGAAUAGAAGGAGCAUAUUUAGGAGACUAUUUAGAGAUUUCGUAGCUAUCUUUGAUUUUGGUAUAGGUGUAUAUAUGAAUAGCCGAGUGAUAUACAAUAAACAUACAGAUUUCUUCCCCUCUCAAACGUUUUCAAAUUAUCUUUUUGUCAAAAUUUCAGUGAUGAAGAAACUCAAGAGCAAGUACAAGACAUUUAAAACGUACGUUUGGUUAAUUUUUUUUUCUUUUAAUUACUUAAUUAUAUAUGCUCUGUUGUGACGUUUUUGCUUAUGUUAAUCAUAUUUCUUUUUCGAAAAGACAAGUCAAUUUGCUUAUGCUAAUCAUAUUUCUUUUUUGAAAAGACUUGUUAGUUUUUCUCUUAAAUUUCUCUUUAAACUUAUGUUUUCGUAAUUUUUUAAUAUAAAUACAUGAUGCAUUUUCUGCUCAAUAUACUACUGUGAAUAAAGUAAUUUAAGAUGACAUUUUUGUAGGUGUAUCAACUGAAGGAACAAGAAAGCUGUUAAAUUUGAUCGUUGUUGGAAUCAAAUAUUGGAUAGUGAAAGGCUUCUAAAAAUGACAAGUAGCUUUCUAUAAAACAAAGCGUUUAUGAUUGAAUCCACUGACUGCACUCAUAUUCUUUAAACUCAUAUGACUUUGUUAGAGAUUUAUUGUAGAAAUGAAUACGAUAUUAAAAGAUAAAAAAGGCUAAUCGAAUAAUUAGGUGCUCGUGUCUUUAAGCUAACCCAAAAAUUAGGAACUCGUGUUUUUAAUUAGUUAUAUUAAUAUUUUAUCCUUGUGAUUUCUUUUUAUGGCACAGCUCUGAUUUCUCUCCUUAGUUGUUGUUGCGUUUCUCAGUGUUCGCUGCAUAUUGUCAUUUUUCAUGGGUAUGAUUUGCCAUAUGCGAUUUAAAUGGGUCAUGUCCACUGAGCAUCCGUUGUGCCUUAACAUGCUAUGAACCCAUGAUUGAAUAUAAAAUAUAAUUGCAUACAUAACAAAUUCUGCCAUUCUCAUGCUUUUGCUAGAAAAUGGUUCUCAUAUCUGACGACUGUUACUCAAUAAAAGUAACAUAUAUGACAUUUUUGUUUCAUUUAUAAACCUCGACGAGUGAGAGAAUUUAUUAGAAUCAUCGAAAAGAGACCUCAUCAUCGGAAAGAAAUAGAAACUGAAAAGAAAUGUCGAGGCCAACAUCAAUUGAAACUGCACUCUUGGGAUUCAUGCACUAUAAUUCAUCAUCCUUUGGUGCCAGGUGAUGAUGUGGCAACCACGUGUUUGUCGUCCAAGGGAAUUGGCUGAAAAAGCAAUGUGAAAACUACAUCCAUAGUCUCUUGGUUUUGAGCACCAUGCCCGUCUCCAUGUAGAUACAUAAAAUGGGACACUCUCACAACAUUCAAUAUGAAUUCGACUGUAGUUUGCGAUAAGGGAGAAUCUUUAACAGCUCUGUAUGCAUUCACCUUCUUCCACAUCUGUCUCAUCAUAUCCUUGAUGUGUUCACGAGCAACUUCCUCCGAGGCACCAGUUUCCUGCAUGUAACACUGGAUUGAUUUCGGAACAUCCCCUCUCUGUAUCUCAUCCUGAUGAAUUAUUGGGUAAAAAAAAAAGUACAAUCAAUUCAUAAAUAGAGGAUUAAUUCAAUUUCUGUCUUGUUAAAAAAAAAGAAGAAAGAAAAAAUACCGAUGAAGUUCCCAAAUCAUCUUGAAGACGAAGAAUCUUGAAUGACCAGUGAAUUAUAUCUUGAUUACUUUCUAAAAAUUCUAGUUCCUUCUCAGUGAUUGGAUUUGUCCCAGAAAGGUAUGCAGUCAUUGUAACCAUAGGGCCUCCUAUUGAUACCAAUCCAUUUUCCAAGAAUUCUCCCAGAGUUGGCGUGUACUUACCAUGGUACCAUUUCGCCUCCACUAAGUAGGCUUGUAUAUUACGAAGCCACUGAUGCACAAGACAGAAAAUAGCAGUAGUUACAACUUAUAAUUUUUUUUUUUUUUUUUUGCGACAACAACAUCCUAAUUUAAAAAGGAUAAAUCAAAGGAAAGGAAUGGCGGCAGAGGUGCAACUAAUAUUUUACGUACCGCAUUUUUUAUACUUCGAAGUAUAUCAAAAUCCUGUUGUUUUGAGUACGUAAUAAGUAAAUUCAUUAACCAAGUUGUAAAGCGCAAGAAAACAGAUUUUCAUAUAGUCCGGAAGGUGGUUCAAAGCAUAAUUGAUGUCCCACCUGUAGAAAACGAAAAAAAAAAAAAAUUCAUAUGACUGGUCUAUUAAUUUGAGAGGUAGCAAGCAGCUAGCUAGCAGUUGAAUUAAUCAAUUAGGUAUAACAUUAAUUUGCCAACAAACCUCUCAACAGCAUCAGCAAAUAGCUCAAGUUCAUCCAAAGUUCCAUAAACAUCAUAAAUAUCAUCAAUCACUGAAAUUAGAGCAAAUGUGAUUGUGAGUAUUCUCCUACAGUAGGCGAAUUGAGGCUCAAACACUAUCCCCAUGCUCCAUACGAAGGAUGCUACCAAGCUGUCCCUCGCAAAGCUCAGUUUCUCUCCAAGACCUAUAUCCUUCCACCACCUUCAUAGGAAAAUUAAAACGAAUAUUAUGACUCGUAGCUUUACAAUACAUCUGUUAUAGAGUCAUCUUCUAGUCCGAGAUUCCUUAGAGUGAAUCUCUGGUGCAAACGUCUGUAUUUUAUGAAGUGCAGACUCAGACCUUUACACUACUGUAAAAGGUGUAGUCUGCACCUGAGAAUAAUUUAAUAUGCAUAUGAUCAAUUUGUACAAGUUAUGUAUGUCAUAAACUAAAAUCUUUGAUACAUACAUAAAUAUGAGUUAUGCAACCAAGCAUGGAUACCUUGAAACAUCUUUAAGUUCUUCCUGGUAAAUUGCCUGCAAAACGUUGAAUUCCAACUUAGCGAGCUCAAGUAAAAGGUGGUUCUUGUCCUCUCUUUUCUCAUAAACGUCUAUGAACCACCUUGCCUCUAACAUUGGAACUUUCCAAUGCAGAGGGAGCUCCAGUCCACGCUUUGCUUGUUCUGCUACAAAGACAUCCCCUUGCUUGCUCUUGCUGAUCAUCACUUCUUUUAGAUGUUUACUAGUGAAUUGCCAGGCCUCCUCCAUGAUGCUUUCUCCUUCUAAGCUGAAAUACGAGGCUUCAUGCAAGCUCAUUAUUUCCUUGAAAUCAUUACAAAUGAAGCCUCCCUUGUGUCUUUAAAACCAUUGAAAACGUCUGCAGUGCUCAAUCAAAAAGAACUAUUUCACAAAAUUUUCGCAUACAUAUGCUAAUUAGAGAAUGAUUUAAGUGUCUCAGCAGCCUUGUCGAGUUCGAAUUCUCUGGAGAUAGAGAGUUAAAAAAUUGAUUUGGGUGUUGUCCACUCUUUUAAAUUAAAAAAAAAAAAAAAGGAAAAAAACAGAGAGAUCGAUUCAAAUAUUCAGACCUUGCAUGCGCAUGACAAAAAAAAUCGAGUUUAUGAAAUGUACCUUGACAAACAGGAUAGCCAUGUUGUCUAAGUAGUCUAAACUCGAGAGAGGUUGCAUACAGAUUUUCUUUUCUCCAAUUAUAAUCUUUAUUACUGUUGUAGAUAUUAUGCAAUAUGUUCCGAAUCUCAGUCUCAAAAUGAUAAGCCAAUCCAAGUCUUUGCAAGUUGUCAAUCAGCUCCAACUGAUCCAGAGGCUCGGUUACAUCCUUAUUAAUCGUUGUCAUUACUUUUCCCUUCAGCUCUUCUGCUUGUCUUUUGUAUGUUUCAUCCUGUACAUGAACGGCAUUUAGUUUUUAGUUAUUCAUGGUCCCAAUUUGAAAUGAAUAAUAAUAAAUACCGUAUAGCCGCUAUUCAGUGACUGCAAAAAAUCAUGGUCCCAAAUUGAAGGUUGGUAGUUUGCUGAUCUCCUGUCAACUGUCAAAUUAUCAUAUUUGGCGCUGACAAGGCAUUGGACUGGCUUAUUUAUGGUAAUGAUUCUAGUGGCUGCUCGAUUUGUUGCAAGAGGAGGACAUUUGAAACCAUUUACAGAGGUAAACGAGGUUGAUGGAACAAUGCAAGAAGACAUUGGACAUACAGAUGUAGUGUAAGCUAGCUUACAGUUAUACUUGGCAAAAAUUCUCAAAUUAAUCUAUGGUUUGCGGUUAUGCACAAGGUUAUAUAUAUAUAUAUAUAUAUAGGCAGCGGAGAAGUGCAAGCGAUUUAUUUUUCUUAUUCAUUUUCCCUGAGAUUUUCAAAGCAUGUAAUUUGUAAGUCUUAGUUGGACAAAGAUAUUAUAUUCAUUAAAAAAAAAAAAGGAGUACAUCUUCCCUCUGUUGAGGGAAUUCUAACGUGCCAGCAAGUUCAAAUAUGUACAUUCGCUGGCAUGUUUUUUUUUUUUUUUCCUUAAAGGUAAGGGGGUGGGCAAGCCUAAAUACAGUUUUUACUCCCCUUAUCAUCCACAAAAAUAAACCCGAAUUUUGGUAGAGAUUACAGCUGCAAUGCAACCAACCCGACCACGCCCUUGAGGGGGCUGGCUUGUUGUAUAAUUGUUAUUUAUUUGUCAUUUUUUUUCGCUACAAAUUUUUUUAAAGAGUGUUUCUAUAAGCCAUAUAAUUAUAAUAAAUACACAUAUUAAUGACAAAAAAAAUUCAUAAAUUUAACUUUGCUUACAAAAGUCCUAUUUAUUACAUUAAAAACUUGUUUUACGUACUUACAUAAAAAUAAGAACACGCAAAGUUACAAAGAAUAUCUUAAUGUUAAUCAUUAAUACUCAAAAUAAUCAAAAUUAUAAAAGAAGAUAAAGACCUGUUUUAUUUAACAAAUCUAACUAAAACCUUAUUUGUUAUAGUUAUAAAGUACUUUUGAAAAAAAAAAUUAUAUAUUUCAAAAUAAUUACCAUCAAAAGAUAGAUUGGAUAGGAUAGAUAUGUCUCCCUCAUAUUAGUGAAAAUAGAUUUUUUAGCUCAUGCCUAAGGGCAUCUCGGUUGUACUACAAAUGUAUGUAUCUAAAUAAGGAUAAAUGCUCAUUUAGUCCCUAUAUUUUAAGAUUAGUAUCCAUAUAGUCUCAAAACAUCCCUGCCGUUAAAGUAUUGAUACCCCUACCAUUACUUUUUAUUUCUUUUGACUUGCUUUUACAAUAUUACCCUUUUAUAAUAAUUUUUUUGUGUGGACAUUAAUAAAAAAAUAGUAAUUAAAUUACAAAUUUAACCCUAGAAAAUUAAAAAAAUUAUAUUAAUUUUUUUGUAAGCUGCACACUUGGUAGUUUGUAUACAAUUUUUGACAAUUAAAAAUUAAUAUAAUUUUUUUUAUUUUUAGGGUUAAAUUGGUAAUUUAAUUAUUUUCUUUUUUAUUAAUGUCCAAACAAAAAUAUUAUUAUAAAAGGGUAAUAUUGUAAAAGUAAGCGAAAAAAAAUAAAAAGUAACGGUAGGGGUAUUAAUACUUUAAUGGUAGGGAUGUUUCGAGGUAUUUUUAAAAAUACAAGGACUAAAUGGAUACUAAUCUUAAAAUACAGGGACUAAAUGAGCUUUUACUCUCUAAAUAAUAUAUGUAUAGACUGUAAUAAAGGAAAAUGAGGAUUAACCCUAUCAUUUAGAUAAAUUAAGGGAAAUCCUUUCAUAUUUUAAAAUAGGUCCAAACACCCUACAAUUAUGACCGUAUUAGUUUUAUAUAUCAUUUUACUAUUCUAUCUCUAGUAUUGAUAUUAGUCAUAAAAUUUAAAUAUUUUGAAGAUAUUCUUUUAAGCAAAGUGACUUGUAUUUCCUUAACGAUUAAAUUAAUUUAAUAACAAAUUGCAAAUUAUGGAGAAAAAUUACAAGUAGGGGAAAUGACAUAAUUCCUACUAGUUGUAUAAAUGUGUCCUAAGUGUAUGAAGUCCAAGAUUCUAAAUAAAUCUCUGAAAACAUAAAAUAAAACAAUUGAAGGAAAUAUCCAAAUAUACAUUCAAAUAAAGGACAAAUAGAUAAUUGGACUAAAUGCAAUAAAUUCACCCAGACUACAAAUGAAUAAUAUAUGAUAAAUUAAAGAAAAGAAUCACUAUAGGAAAGGGAUAUAUAAGCAACUACUAACAAAACAAUAAAUUACACGUACUUGCAGCUAUUUGAUGAGAAAUAAUUAAUUAAGAGCAUUAAAUUAGCAUAAGCAAGUGAGCAAACAACAAUUACAAUGGCAACGGUAUGGCCUAGCCUAUGCUUCUCCAAUAAAACAACUGAUCGUGUGCCAGAUUAAGAAGCAAAUUAAAUAUAUCAAACUUGUUACAUUCAUUUAAACAAAUACUUUAUAUAAUUAUCAGGGGUAUAUAUGAUAUUUCCUCUACUUGUAAAUUGUAAUUUUUCUUCAUGUUUUUUAAUAGGUUAAUAAAUUUAUUUAAUUGUUGAGGAUAUAUAAGUCAUUUUGCUUAAAAAAUUCUCAAAAUAUCUAAAUUUUAUGACUAAUAUCGAUAGUAAAAAUAGAAUAGUAAAAUUAUAUAUAAAACUAACACCAUUAUAAUUGUAGUAGAUUUGAAUCUAUUAAAAAGUAAGGAGGGGUUUUGCUUAAUUUUCCUAGACAAAUAGAAGGUAAUCCUCAUUUUCACAUUGUAAUAAUUUCAAAAAAAAAAUCCAUUUAACAACGGUUAGUGAAAGUGCGUUCGAAUUUUUGCAGUAACUAAAAACAAGUCAGAAUUAUGUUAGGAUUAAUCCAUACAAAGAAAACAUCCCAAGUCCUCCGAAGUAAUAAGCAACACACACACACACACAAACACAUAUACACACAUAUAUAUAUAUAUAUUACAAUUUUUUUUUUUUGAUGCGAUAUAGAGUACAAUUUAAUAUUGGUUCAACUACAGAAAUUAAUUGUGCAAGUCAUAAAAAUUAAGAAUGAAGAAAAGGAAAUAUGAACUCAAACCAGAACGCCAAAUGUAGUCAUAUUUUUUCAUGAGGGAAUUCUAACGCGCCAAUGAAUGUGUUUAUAGUAAUCAACGAUGCCGAUAUUUGUUUAUAAUAGUAAUACAGUGAACAGAAACGUGCGGAAGCAUGUGUUUAAUAAUCAACGUUAUAUUUCCAUUUGAGUCAUAGAACACUGGAGAGACUUCCUGUAUAGCCUGACCUUACUAGAAUUUGCAAAUAAAAUGCGAAUGUAAAAUACCAAAACACGUGCGACUCUUCAUCAACAGCCUGUAAAAUACCACUAGAAGAGAUAUUUGCCCCAUUUCCUUGAGAUCAUCUGUCUCGAAACAAAAGAGACUUCAUUGACUUGUAGUCGAAAAUGACAAGAAGGGCAGAAGAGAAAUUUUAGAAAAUCUCUAAUAUACCAUAUCAAUUAUAUAAAAAGUAAAUAAUGAUAUAGUAUAUAUGCAUUUAUUUUAAAGAACAGACAUAUAAUUGGUAGUUAUAUAAAAUUUAAAUAUACAUUUUAUACAUAUAUUAAUUAAACUGAUUUAUGUAUUUUAGUUUAGAAUUUCUCACAACAAAGAACUAGCAUUCAUUUUUUUCUUCUUGGUUUUGCGGCAUCACACACUAUAGUGUAGCACAUGAACCAUAUGCGUAUGAAAAAUUAGACUAGUUGGUAUACGUAAUGUUAAGGAGUCAGAGCCUCUCCUUUUUGACACACUGAUAACAGAGUGCAACCGUGUGUAAUACACAAGCACAUGCGAAGUCAAAAUUAGACUAGUUGGUGUGGGGCUUGUUCAGGAAGCCUUUCUUUUUUUCACAAUAUGAAACAAAUUAUUAACCAUCAAAUCACAGUUUGAUAAGUCUCAUGAAAAAUGAAAAUAAUAUAAAUAAAUGUGACUAAUAUUUUUGUGUCUUUAUUAUCACGAGCCUUGUGGGCAAGGUCGGCUCAAUUAAUUGGGAGCUUUAAGGGAAUUGUUCAAUUAGACCUUUCAAAAAAUUUGAGGUUAAAUAUAUGUAUUAAUUUUACUAAAAAACUAUUUAUUAAAAUCAAAUUUUCUAGCUUUAGAUGUAAAAUUAUUAAUCAAAUUUUUAUAUUAUAAUUUCCUAAUAUAUUUUUCUUAGUAGACAUUAUGGCUAAUCCAUUUACUCUUUCUUGCGACAUUGUUAAUCUCAAAUAAGCUUUUAUCAAUUUUAAUUUUGAAAAACUUCUUUUUGCAUAAGCAACUGCUUGUAGUAUUGUUAAUAAUAUUCUAUAAGUAGCAUAUGCAUUUGGAAAAAAAAUCAAUUUUUUGAAAAUAAUUAAGUAUGUCAAGCGGGGUAAUUUUCCAACUGGUAAAACUUCUUUAAAAAUUCUUAACUCUAAAAACAAAUCUAAACCAUCUAUAUCAGAAAGCAUAUCAUGUUUGUAAAGCAUUUUCAAUAUUAACACAAUAAGUUUUUAAAACAUUGUCACUUAACGAUUGUAAUUUUUUGAAAUUAAACAAAAAUCCUAACAUAUUCUCAUACAUUUGAAAUUGUUCAAAUCUACUUAUUAUUGAAGAAAUAGUUUGAUCUAUUAUGUAUAUAAAAUAAUUAAUUCUGAAAGACUAUUCAAGAGAUAAAAUUCCUCCUUCACCGAUACUUUCAUCAAAAUUGUUUUUUCUACGAAUUAAAUGUUUUUCGUGAAUUUUAGGUUCUAUUUCCAUUUUGGUUGCAAUUUCUUUAGUUAAAAUCAUAAUAGGCACAAAAUCCAUUUUCUCUAUGGCUUUCAAAGAAAGAAAUAAAAACUUUAUGUCGAUCUAUGGCAAUAUAAAUAUGCAUAUGUUUUUUGCAAGAUCUUACAUAUAGAGUUAAUAGCAAAUAAUAUAUCAUACUAAAUAAUCACACCUAAUAUGAAAUUAAAAUUUUUCAAUUCAUAUGUUGCUAAACACAUAGCUUCACUCUUUAUUCUAGAAUCUUCACUAAUUUCUUCUAAUUCAAGUAAAGCAUCUCAUACUUUAUGGAGUUUGAAAUCUUAUUGCUUUCACACUUUCAAUACAACUUUCUCAAUGUAUGUGUCAAAAUAAUUUCACAGUCAAAUUGGGUAUAUUAUUUUGUGAGAUUUUCCAUCACCUCAUUGAAGAAGAAAAAUAAUGAAUAAAUAAGUUUCAUAGCUCCAAAAAAUGAAAUUGAUCUAGGACAAGAAUUAGCCAUGUUGCAAACCACUAAAUUUUGACCAUGACAACCGCUUGAUGUAUAAAAUGCUUUAGAAUUUGUUUAUAAUAUCUUACACCUUGGUGUUUUCCUUUCAUAUUAGAACCAUUAUUGUAUCCUUGUCCUUGUAUAUUAUCAAUGACAAGUUCAAAAAUUUUUAUUAGUUCUAUGAGUUCAUUAAAGAGCUCUUUACCAGUACAAUGGCAAACUUUUAAGAUUCGAAAAAAUAUUCUUCCAUUUCUACUGGAUUUGCUAAAUUAUCUACACAUCUUACUAUAGCAGACACUUGUUCUUGAUGGUUUGUAUCUGAAGUACAAUCAAGAAUAAUUGAAAAUUAUUUUUCUUCUUAUUUGUUAGGGAUUUUAUUAUUCCCAUCAUUGUGUCAAUAAUAUUACAAUUUAUUUAUUCUUUUUAUGAGGGAUUUGUCUAGUCUUGGGAAUUAAUUAGAUUAGAUUAUGUGGAAUAUGGGGGAAUAUUUUUUGAGGCAUAAAGAAGCAAAUCAGCAUAUAAGUAGGAUUACAUAUUAAAGAAUUCUAAAUAAAGAUGAUCAUUGUAUUGGUAAGUAUAUUAAGUAUUUAUGGAAUAUUAGACUCUAAAAAAAAUAUAUGUUCUAAUGAAAUACUGCACAUAUAUAAAGGGAAGUAUUUCACACAUUGAAGACUGAAGAAGGCAUUUCUUAUUUUAUAUUAGGGAAAUAGCCAAUGCAAAGAAUGAGAAGAAAAACUAUUUCGUCACAUAUGAGGUUUCAUAUCUCUAUAAUGUUUUAAUCUUCUUCAUAUCAAGCAUUUCAUUAGACAUUCUUUAUUAUUAUUUGGUUUUUUCGGAAUGGAGAGGUCAUUUGUUGUGUUGAGGGAAUCUCAAGGAAGUAGCAAAUACAAUUGAAGAUGAGUGGUGCUUGCUAAACACGAUUGACUAGGUAGAUUCAACAAGGUGGUGGUAAGAGCAAGAGAGAGUCUGAGACUAUAGAAAUUAAGGGCUUAUUCGGAUCAAUUUCAACAACAAGACGACCAAAUUUGCCUCUGGAUGCGGAUUCAGUGUUGUAAUCAAUUUUAAAAACACUCCCGAAAAUUUGUCCCAACAUUCGGAGAAUUUUCUUAUUGUAGUAAUGUAGGGCCAUGCCUGGUAAGCGGAUCCAGGCUAUAACAUAUUCAAUCACUGUUGGGUAUAAGAGGCUUUGCACACAACUCUGUAGAAUUGCAGAAUAAUUCUUAUUUGAUUCGAAUGCAAAAUAAUUGACUUAUAGUCGUACAAAAGCAGGGGAAGAAAACUGAAAAACAAACUACCCAUUUUCCACUCUAACAGAUCGUGAAUCAUGGAGAAGAAAUAUUUAAGCUAACAGUUACUUUCCUAAUAAAUAGGAUUUAUUUAAGGCAAUUAAAUAGCUAAACCUGAUGACUCAACAAUCACUGCUGCCGAACUAUCAAAAUGGGGAGUCCAUGGCUUCACUGUUAGAUAGUGCCCCAGAAUAGUCUAAGGCCCUUGCGCCAAAGCGAACUCCACAUCCCUCUCUGUUCUGAAACGAACAAGAUAAUAAUCAUUCUCAAGGUCAAUUCCAGAAAGCCCUUGGGUCGAGCUCCAGAUGGUUUCCAAGCGGUUGCGCAGCGUCCGGUAACCUAUGCGACGACCCAAAAGCUUGACCACCACCGUGUAUUGCCAUGGUUUCAUUAGUUGAGCAUGUACUUUUCUGUGAAAAAAAAAUGGAGUGAAAAUUGUCUGCACACUCAAAAACCACAUCUUCCGGUUCAACUGCCAAAUCUUCCCCGCUAUCAAAAAAUACUCCUUCAUCCACCCUUUGUGUUGACAUCAGUUUAUCACGAAAGGAAGGAGGCUGAGGAUUGUCACCAUCUUCCCCUUCAGCCUUAAAUCUUGCUUUGUUUGUGGAACGGUCGUCAGCCAUAGGUGGAUUAGGGUUUUUCUCCAUUUCAAUCUUUCCUCACAUUAGGAACUCAUUUUUUUUUAAUUGGUUAUAUUUACUUUUUGAUUCUUGUAACUUUUUUCUUUAAAUGCCACCGCUCUUAUUUCUAUCCUCAUUUAACAGACUGCGGGUUGCGUUUGUCACUGUUAGCUGCACAUUGCCAUUUUUCAUGAGUAUGAUUUGCCGUAUGCAUGGAUACUGAAAGUAUCCCUUGUGCUAAAAAUGCUAUGAACCAUCCUUGAAUAAUCAAGUAUAACUGCAUGCAGAACAAAUUCAGCCGUUCUCACGUUUUAGCUAGCAAAUAAUUAUCUUGUAGGAAUUAGAAUGAGCCUGACUUAAGUAUUUGCAUAUCCUGAAGACUUUUAUUCCCAAUAAAAGUAACAUAUAUAUAUAUAUAUAUAUAUAUAUCAUUUCUUUUUCAUUUAUAAACCUUGAUGAAUGAGGGAAUUUAUUUUAUUAUCGAAAAGAGAUCCCUCAGAAAAAAGAAAAGCGGAGGCCAACAUCAACUGAAACUGCACUCUCUGGGAAUUCGCAACGCAUCGUGCAUUAUAAUUCAUCAUCAGCCUUUGGUGCCAGGAGAUGCUGUGAAAGCCAUGUCUUUGUCCUCCAAGGGAAUGGGCUGAAAAAGCAAUGUAAAGCCGACAUCGAUAGUCUCUUGGUUUUGAACACCAUGCCCAUCUCCAUGUAGAUACAUAAAAUGGGACAUUCGCACAAGAUUCAAGAGGAACUCAGCAGUUGUUCGAGUCAAGGGAGAGUCUUUAUCGGCUGUGUAUGCAUUCACCUUCUUCCACAUCUGUCUCAUCAUAUCCUUGAUGUGUUCACGAGCAACUUCCUCCGAGGCACCAGUUUCAUGCAUGUAACACUGGAUUGAUUUCGGAACAUCCCCUCUCUGUAUCUCGUCCUGAUGAUUAUUGGGGAAAAAAAAAAUACAAUCAAUUCAUAUAUAGAGGAUUAAUUCAAUUGCUGUCGUCUUAAAAAAAAUAAAUAAAAAAAGACAUACCGAUGAAGUUCCCAAAUCAUCUUGCAGACGGAAAAUCUUGGAUGACCAGUGAACUAUAUCUGGAUUACUUUCUAGAAAUUCCAGUUCCUUCUUAAUGAUUGGAUUUGUACCAGAAAGAUAUGAAAUCGUUAUAAUUAAAGGGCCCGUUAUUGAUACCAAUCCAUUUUCCAAGUAUUCUUCCAGUUUCGGUGUGUACUUGCUAUGGUACCAUUUCGCCUCCACCAAGUAGGCUUGUAUUAAGCCAAGCCACUGAUGCACAUGGCACAGAAAAUAUACAACUAGUUACGGUUUAUAAUUUUUGAGAAAAAAAGAACAUCGUAAUUUAAAAAGGAUAAAUCAGAGGAAAGGAACAGGGAGAGGCGCCAAAUUAAUAUUUGACGUACUGCAUGUUUUAUGCUCAGAAGCAUAUCAAAAUCCUGUUGUUUGAGAACGUAAUAAGCAAAUUCAUUAACAAAGUUGUAAAGGGCAAGAAAACACAUUUUCAUAUAGCCCGGAAGGUGCUUCAAAGCAUAAUUGAUGUCCCACCUGCAGAAAAAAAAAAUCACAUAAACGGUCUAUUAAAUUGAGAAGUACCAUGCAGCUAGGUAGCAGUUGAAUUGUUAAUUUGCCAACAAACCUCGCAACAGCAUCAGUGAAUAUCUCAAGUUCAUCCAAUGUUCCAUAGACAUCAUAAAUGUCAUCAAUCACUGUAAUUAGGGCUAUCGAGAUUGUGAGCACUCUCCUGCAGUAGGCGAAUUGAGGCUCAAACGCGAUCCCCAUGCUCCAUAAGAAGGACGCUACCAACCUGUUCCUCGCAAAGCUCAAUUUCUCUCCAAGACCUGUAUCCUUCCACCACCUUCAUAGGAAAAUUAAAACGAAUAUUACGACACGUGAUUUAUAUAUCUGUAUAUAUAGAAUCAGCUUUCUGUCUGGAAUUCUGAAGAAUAUUUCUCUGAUACAAGCAUCUCAUUUUAUAAAGCACGUGACUUGUGGCUUUACAAUGCAUUUACAUAUAGAGUUAUCUUCUAGUUCGAGAUUCUUUAAUGCAAACGUUUGGAAUAAUUUAAUAUACAUUUAUAUAAAGUGUAGGCUGGUGCCUUUAUACUGCUGUAAAAGGCGGAGUCUGCACUUGAGAAUAAUUUAAUAAACAUAUGAUUAAAUUGUACAAGUUAUCUAUUCGAUAAAAUCAAAUCUUUGCAAUAUAUAUGAGUUAUGCAAUCAAGGCAUAGAUACCCUGAAAUGUCUUUAAGUUCUUCCUGGUAAAUUGCCUGCAAAGUGUUAAACUCCAACUUAGCGAGCUCAAGUAAAAGGUGGUUCUUGUCCUCUCUUUUCUCAUAAACGUGUAUGAACCACCUUGCCUCUAACAUAGGCACUUUCCAAUGCAGAGGGAGCUCCAGCGCCCGCUUCGCUUGUUCUGCUACAAAUACAUCCUCUUCCUUGCUGUUGCUGGUGAUCAUCAUUUCUUUAAGAUGCUUACUGGUGAAUUGCCAGGCCUCCUCCAUGAUGCUUUCUCCUUCUAAGCUGUAAUACGAGGCUUCAUGCAAGCUCAGUAUUCCCUUGAAAUCAUCACAAAUGAAGCCUACCUUGUCGUCUUUAAAACCACUGAAAACCUCUGCAGUGCUCAACCGAAAAAAGAAAUUAUAUUCAUCAAAACUUUUACACAUAUAUGUUAAUUAGAGAAUGAUUUAAGUGUCCCCAGCGGCCUUGUCGAGUUCGAAUUUCUCAGGAGAUAGAGAGUUAAAAAAUUGAUUUGGGUUUUGCCCACUUUUUUACAUUUAAAAGGAAUGAAUAAGAUAAACAGAGAGAUCGAUUCAAGUAUUCGGAUCUUGCAUGUGCAUGACAGAGUAAGCGAACUAAUGAAAGGUACCUUGAGAAACAGGAUAGCCAUGUUGUCUAAGAAGUCUGAAUUCAAGGGAGGUUGCAUACAGAUUUUCUUUUCUCCAAUUAUAAUCUUUAUUAUGGUUGUGGAUAUUACGCAAUAUGUUCCGAAUCUCAGGCUCAAAAUGAUAAGCCAAUCCAAGUCUUUGCAAAUUAUCAAUCAGCUCCAACUGAUCCAGAGGCUCGGUUACAUCCUUAAUCGCUGUCUUCACUUUUCCCUUCAGCUCUUCUGCUCGUCUUUUGUAUGUUUCAUCCUGUAC
rnacentral:lncRNA from 1 species